rnacentral:lncRNA from 1 species
GAAAACUAUUUGCUGAAGUCAAUAUUUUCAAAACCAAAGUCCCAAAUUCUCUCUCGUGCGUGCCUGGCCAUCCUAAACCUUACUGGUAGCCGGAGAAUGGCGUAAAACGGCGGCGAUCUUCUUCUUCAUCUUAUUAUCUCUCUCAUCGUUUCAGGUAAGCUUGUGAUUAUGAGUUUCUUCUCUUUCUUAGCUUGUAAUUAUAGGUUUUGAUUUCUUUAAUUCGUAUUGUAACCAUUAAUGUCAAUUUUUGUCCCGCCGGCAAUAUUUCUUGUUCCUAGAAGUUGAAGCCCUUCUGUUCUUGUUCCAUUGGUGACUUUGCUCACUCAAAUUAAUUUUGUUCUGCGGAAUUUACAAAGUUCAAAUGGAUUCAUUUGGAUUACUAUUGAAUUUAGCUUUCAUUUCAACAUUCAUUCUAAUGUUUUACAAUCAUGUAUUUAGAUUUACUUUAAUUUUAUGUUUAAAGCUUCUACAAUGAAUAGCGGAGCUUGGGUUUUAGUUUCAUUUUCUAAUUAACUUCUUUUAGUUUAUCUUAUAUGCUCGCCAAGUGCUUGUUAUAUUGUCUGAUAAGUUAUAUAACAUUGCUGAUUCUAUAUUAGUAAUGUCAUGUUCCAUUUACGGAAAUUAUAGCACAAAAGUUUUUACAAUGGCUUGCAUCUACAAACUGAAUUGACUUGUAGAGUAAGAGCUUGGAUUAGUGUUAUGUUCUUGAAUAAAUGAAAGUUCAUAUUGUGUAAGAGCAUGUAGAUGUAAAGCAUCACUACCAUUUCUACAAAAUGCUUUCAUUCUGUUCAGAUGCUCCUCUUGAACUUUGAAAGGUGCCUCAUUCAAGUCCUAGCUAUAACUAAUAGCUCUGAUUGCUUAAGUUCCUGUGCUAGCUGAAACAGAUUUAUUUAAUUAAUUAAUUGUGUAUGUACUAAUUAUAUUGAAAGUAUAUGAAGAAAUUGUUUAACAUGAAUGACUUCUAAAUGACUUAAAAGCCUAAAGGAUAUGUCAAAUAAUGCUCAUUUCACUUGAACGAGCCUAAUACUUUUAUGUCUAUGAUUGUCAAUCUUGCUUAAGUGUUUCAGUUAAGUGGUUUACCUAACAGGGGAAAAAAUUUAAUGGAAAACUUUAGAGUUCGAACAGAAAUAUAGUUGACUGCAGAUAUAGUUAUUUUACGGUACAUAAAUCAUAUUGUCCUAUACUCAAUGUCCUACGACCUAUUUUAUUUUAUAUGGUCAUUCAUUUUUGCGAUGGUUUUUUGUGCUUAUGAGUAUGGAAAUAGUGGGAUUUGGUGUGGCAAACAAAAAUAUACAUAUAAUCAAGUUUCUUAAUCAUGUAUAUUGGUUUUGGGUAUGAAUGUUUUCCUAUUCUAGUUCUAGACAAAGUUUCUUCAUUUUGGUCUUCAGAUUUCCAGUAGGUUAAGUUAAGCAACUAUCAUAACUAGCUAGCUAGUUAUUGCCUGCCUUGUCGCCAUUACCGACGCCAUUACAUUGCAUGGCAUAAGGAAUAGUAACUAGGUGAUUAUUGGUGAUUCCUUGAGUUUAUUAUUGGCCAAACAAACAUAUUCGCCUUUACCCACAACUUAGUUUGAUUAGUUAUUAGAUAAUAAAGAGCCUUAAUCUAUGCAUUGCUUUAUUAUUUUUAUUUGGUUUUUCUUUCAACAAUAUUGUUGAUUUCUUAUAAAAAAUAUUCAUUGGUUUUUAAACACCUAAUCAUUGGCUAUAAUGAAGCUAAUUAAAACGGAGGCUUUGGAUCAAUUUCUGUUAACAACAUACAAAUGAGCAUAACCACCCCCCCCCCCCCCCCCCCAACCACCACCAAAAAAAAAAAAAACCAAAUAGGAAGACUUUGCAAGAUUCACAACCAGGUUACAUUUAAUUUAUUAAUUGUGUGUACGUACUAGUUAUUUGUUGAUAGAAUAGGAAGAAGUAUUUUAAUAUGAAUGGCUUAAAACUUAUUGCUCAGUAAACAUAAUGUGCAUCAGUGCUAGAAAAUGUAUUUAUUGUUUGUAAUUUUUUAUGGUUUUGCUUAAGAAAUGAAAUGUGAAAAAAUGCUACAUUUUAUUAGGAAUAAAUUGAAGAGAUUUAUGAUUUUUAUGUGUUAUUCAAGUUUCAGAUUCAAUUUUAAACUUUUGAUACAUGCAUUGAAAGCUUAAACUCCUUUAAGAAAUUAUUAAUAGACACAUGUUUUAUUAGUGUCAUCUUUUGGAUGAUAGUGAGGAUCUUAUGUCUAUUAAUAAUUCUUGAAUUAUCUAGGCUUGGACAGUUUGGUAAUGCAUAGAUUUCUAUGGCAGCUAGUGCCUGAAAUUUUUUUCCCACGUAAAAAUGGGUUUUUCCGCAGCUGCUCCUCAUGUUCUCUGGGUGCAUACUAGACAAAUGGGUGUCAUGUGUUGUUUUGGCAUAACACAUAAACACUCAUAUAUCUAUGUCGUGUACUUGAAGAACUAUAGGGAGAUGCUUCCGAAGUUUCUAUAAACGUAGAGGAAAACUUUAGAUACUUAAGAUUGAAGAAACUUAUGCAUUCUUGAGUGGGAUAUAUAGGACCACUUACCUUUUGUAAAUAUGAAGGGAAUGUUGGAUAUAUUGAUGGGAGUGGAGGAGCUGAGUGGGAUGAAUGUAAUCGGUUAUGAUUUUGCUGAGUUGACUUGGUUUUGAGUCUUGUAAUUUUGUUUAUAAAUGGAGUACUAUCUCCAAUGUUGGUUUAUAAAUAUGUUUCAGCUGGCUGACCUAAUUUUUUGUUUCUAGGUAACAGGCUUUAUAUAUCUGUAAUUGAUAGCCAAGUGAAGUUCUCAGCAGUGGGUGAGGAUAUUUCUUUACAGAAGGUAUUGCAAACUGUUUUUUAGAUUAAUUAUUAUUGUAUAUAUACUUUAAUUUUCACAUCUUUUUCUCUGAUUCUUGUGGCUUUGCUUGCUUCCAUAUAUAUAAAACCAUAAAAUUGUAUAAUAAUUUUUUUAUUAUAUUGCGAAACUGCGCACACAUGAAAAUAUCUUGUUUAGUAGUAGAAAUGAAGAAUUAAAGUGAUUUAUUUAACUAAUUUUUCUAGUGCAUUAAAAGGAGAUAGUCAUGGACCAGAGUUGGGUUGGUUUGCCAAAUAGAUAUCCAAUUCAUAUACUGAUGGGGUCAAAAAAUUUAUAGAUUUUGCAUUUGAGAAUGUUGUUGGUGAUAAAAGAAUUUAUUGCCCUUUAGAAGUGUCGUAAUAUCGAUAUUUCAUUAUAAGGAAAGUAGCAAGAGACCAUAUCAUUAUAAAUGGCUAUUGGUUAAAGUAUUAAAACUGGAUAUUGGAGGGUGAGCCAUCUUCAUCUUUGAAAUCUAACUAAGAAACAGGUUAGUCAUGACUCGGGUAGUGAUGCUAGUAUGCUUGGAAUGAUGCAUAAUGCAUCACGUAAUCAAAUGUUCAAGUCACACGCAGCAUUGUUAUGGACUAUCUCCGACUUUCUAGCAUAUGCCAACUUGUUUGGGUGGAGUAUUAAAGGUAAAUAAGCAUUUCUUGUUUGCCAACAAAACACUAGAUCUAAUUGGUUGAUACAUAGUAGAAAAUUGUCACGUGGGUCACCGUCGAUUUUUACCAACAAAUCAUAGGUUCCGAAAAUAUAGUGCCAUCUGAUAAAACUAGAGAGUGGGGACAAGCACCUUCUCGGUUGUCUGGAGCCGAGGUGAAAAACCAGUUCAGUAAUGUACUUAAGAUUGAAGACUUGAAAAGAGGAGAAAAGAGGAGAAUGAAUAAAAUGAAAGAAAUGAUAAGAUUACUUGGAAGAAGAAAAGCAUUUUUUAUGAACUAACGUAUUGGGAGUUCAAUUUGAUUCAUCAUAAUCUCGAUGUCAUGCACCGUUUUGAUUUUUGUUAUGAACUCAGAUCAAAAGUUUAAUGUGAUCAAAAUUUCUUAAAAAUAGUGAAAACGACUCCUCCUAAUAAUAUGGAAGAUGGCUAUAAAAGAUAAUUUCUUAAAAGUUUAAUGUGAUCAAAAUUGCUUGUGAACGCAAGGGUUUUAGUUACACUGUCAACGCUGUCAAUGUAGUGAUACAAUGAAGAUGAAGUAAAGCAUUAGUAGAAUAAUGAAGUUGACCAGUAACACAGUAAAGCAAAUUUUAUUCCAGAGCAUGAAAACUUUUAAACAGUAACACAGCUCUUAUUCCAGAGGCUGCACGCGAGUGACCUGAAUCUUCUUCAGAACUUUCAAAUUUUAUCAAGCAAAGCUUUCAAAAUCCUUUGCCUUCCUAAGUUAGGAAAGAUAGAUGUGGAGCAAACUAUUUUUUUUAGAUAUUUUCACUUUGGGCUGUCAGCCCGAGGAAGUAGGGGGGUCUGAGUUAUUCAACUGAAAAUGUCGGCCAAGUUCUUGUGUUAGUUUUAGUAUAUUGUGUACAAAUGAUACACUAACUUGAAUUUAUAUGCUUUUAUGACUAUUUGAUAAUCAAAUGGGUAAAUGACACGAAUAACUUUGAGUUUAAAAAUCUGGCCCUGAUGCCUGGUAGCCCUCCAACCUAUGAAGCACUAGAUGUUUUAAUGAUAAAACGACAAGACCAUUUAUCAAAUUUCUUGUGGAUAUAAAUACAUACACAUAGACGAGACCAACCUCCUCAAAUGAGAAUCAGAGUGAUUACAAGACCUUUCAAUGAGACAAUAAUACACCAUCAAAUCUCAAAAUACAAUAGAAAUUCAUGACAUAUAUAUAAUAAAAGACCACUCAUUGAGUCAUAUAUAUUGAGAAUAAAUUUUUUUUAAUACAUACAAAGAGCUUAGCUAGAAUGAAAUGUCUUUGGACUUGCGAUGAAAACAAAGGAAACAGACAUGUUGCAACUCACACUAUCACAGAUGUAGCGACACAAUGCAGUGAAUCACAAGAAGAUCACGAAGAUGGAAACGGGAACCCCUCAGAAUGUAAACUUUGAAUAGAGGAAAAAAGGAAAACGACCUUAUUCACAGAGGACGAGUGACUUAAAUCUUCAUCAGUAUCCAAACAUUCUGCAAUCAUAGAGUAGAGAAAUUUUAACAGGAACAGCAGAGAAAAUAUUAUGAAUAUGCACUGAUUACGUUUUUUUUUUUAAUUUUUUUAAUCCGAUUAAUGAUAUUCAGCUGUUCUUUAAUUAUGUGUUCAUAGGGAAGAACAUUUUCUAAGUACUUUCCUUGCCUUCUAACUUUCCAAGGAAAUAUAGGUGUGAAGAAAAGCAAACCCAAUGAACAAACAGAGCACAAAGUAAAAUAAAAGAACAGCAAUGAUGACGAUAAAUAAUUGGCAAAGAAAGAAAGGAAAAAGUAUGCACGUUUUCAAGGAUUUAUAAAAUACGAAGGCUUUUAAUGGAAUUUUAUCAUAAAAACGUAUGCAAGGAGUUAUAAAAUUUUAGAAGACGAGGGGAGCUCGCAAAAAAAAAAAAAAAAGACUCAAAUUAAACUAGACUAAAAAGACAUUCAAUUAUGCAAAAUCUGUCCAUAAAAGUCUGAAAGGAUCAUUAAAAUUGCAUUGCAAAUUUAACAGUAAACCGAGGGAUCCAUUCUAAAUAAUUCAGAUGAAAUUGCGAAACAAGCCAUGGGAUUAAAUAAAUGAAAUAAAAAUUAAUUACCAGUUGAGACUUUCUUCUAAAAAUUCGCAACUCCAAGUCAUAAGAAGCCUAUGAAAUUAGUCGUACUGCGUAGAGUAUGACGACGACACCGCCAACAGCUGAAAGUAAAAUUCUUAUUCAUCAAUUUAAACUUUUACUUUAUAAAAAAUAUCUUAUCUAUAUUGUAUUUAAGAAAGCAAAUUUUGUAAAAAUUUAUCAUGGGAGAUAGAGAGUAAUAUGUAUAGACGUACCUUCUCAGCAUGUAAUUGUUGUAUGGUUGUGUUUAGAUCAUUAUUAGCCCAGCGCCGUUGAUCCGCUGUCUCUCCAUAGCAGACGUUUACUCUUAGAGGCAUGAUUGAUUCUCCUGUAGUGAAAAUCUUCAUCUUGGGACAACCAAUCACACACAAAUCUUGCAAAGAUGGGAAUUUGAAGGUGUAAUUGGCAGAGCAGAAACUUGUGAGGCUAUCUAAAUCACGCAGUUCCAACGUCUUCAAUUUGCGGAAAACAAUCUCUUCUUUUUCAACUCCUUCUUUGUCAUUUAUUACCACCUCUGUCAUUGCUCUGCAUUCACGCAUACGCACUGUGACGAGUUGCACUAGAGUUUUUGCUGUGGAGGAUGUUACCAAGUGUAUCAAUUCCUUGCAACCGAAAGCUACAAUUUCGGUUAGGUUCCGAAAAGAUACCGAUGAUGAUGGCAAUAGAAUUAACAGACUUUGACAAUCAUAUACUUUUAGAAUUUCAAGAUACUGAAAAAUGGGGCCAAGUUUGGAGUCUUGUUUGCACAGCUGCUCAAGAUGAUAGUGCUGGUGCAGCUGUAAUUCUUUUAUCAUUGCCAACUUCCCCACAUGUUUCUCUAAGCAUCCUUCCAUCGAAAAUACCUCUUCGUGGAAUGAAAAAUUACACAGUAUGAGUAUUUCGAGACUGUGAAAUCUCUCAAGUACAUUCCAGAUUGGAAAACAAGCUGAGUCAUCGCCACCAAUAUUUAGUUGUUUAAGACUGCCAAAAAGGUGUUGGGGGAAAUCGGCCUGCAAAAUCAUCUUCACGUCUUUUCCAUUUAAUGUUAGGUCCUUCAAGUUGGGUAAGAUCUGAUCAUCAUCAAUCAUAAUAAUUAUUAAGGUCAAUUGAUGUUCUCUCAAAUGAUUUUAAGUAAUCCAAUCACACGCAGUGACUUUAUAGUAUUUGUUUUAUAUUAUAUUUUACACAAAAAAAUGAAUUAUUGAAAAAAAUUAUUAAAUGAUUUUUUAUAUGUUAAUUUUAGAGGUAAAAAAGAAAUUAAGGAAAAAAUUUUGAUUUAUACUGGCUGGAAAUUAUUUUAUUGCACAAUAAUAAAUUACUAAUUUAUUUUGUAAGUUCUUAUAUAUGGAAAGACUAAGUAUCUCCAAAAGGCUCUAUAAAUUUUACUCUUUCAAAUUUCUAUUUGCUUACCUAUGUGGCAAAUAGAAAAGUGAAAAAAUAUGUUAUUCUCCAAAAGACUCUUCAAAUAGAAAUGAAUUAAUAUUAUUUUAAUUAAAUAACUAUUUUUAAAAAAUAAAAAGUCAAUAGUAAUUAAAACACCUCUCUCUCUUUCUCCAACAAAAAGUAAUAAAAUAUAAAUUGAAGAGGGGGAAUGCAACUCUCCAAAUUUGAAGAGAGAUGAUCAUUUCUUAUUUGAAGAAUCUUAAUUGGAGUAUCUUUUGGAACUUUAAAUGCUGAUGUGGCUCUUCAAAUAAGUAAUAAAAUCUUAUUUAAAGAGUCUUUUGGUGAUGCUCUAAGGAUUCUUUUAUAAAUGCUAUACCUAAAAAAGUUCAUAUAAUUAUUAAUCUAUCAAUAAAUCCCUUAGUCUAGACUAGCAAAGAUUAUUGUAUAAUAAAAGUUUUCAAUUUAUUGAGUAUUAAUUUAUUGAUGCUUUGUCAUAUUUUUUAAAGUUCAAACUAAGCUAUUGAUAGAAAUCUAGAAAAUGGCUUCAUACAUUUUCCAACGGCAAUAGGGCCUGUUGUGCAGGAGUAUCAAGUUCAUCAUUCUCAAAAAAAAAAAAAAGAUUGAAUUAUUGAUAAAAUUUAUUAAAUGAUUUUUUAUAUGUUAAUUUUAGAGGUAAAAAAGAAAUUAGGGAAAAAAUGUUGAUUUAUACAGGCUCGAAAUUAUUUUAUUGCACAAUAAUAAAUUACUAAUUUAUUUUGUAAGUUCUUCUAUAUGGAAAGACUGAGGAUUCUUUUACAAAUGCUAUACCUAAAACAAUUCAUAUAAUUAUUAAUCUACCACAUUGAUCCCUUAGUCUAGACUAACAAAGAUUAUUGUAUAAUAAAAGUUUUUAAUUUAUUGAGUAUUAAUUUAUCGAUACUUUGUCAUAUUUUUCAAAGUUAAAAAUAAGCUAUUGAUAAAAAAUCUAGAAAAUGGCUUCAUACCUUUUCCAACGGCAAGGGGGGCAGUUGUGCAGGAAUACCAAGUUGAUCAUUCUCAUUAUUCUGCGAUAAAUCUGCAGCGAAUAUCUUUAAUUUGUCACAACCAUACACAUAAAGAAUUUCUAGCGCGGGCCAUUCCGAAGUAUGCAUUCCAGGGUACAAACAUCUAAGUUUUGGUAGAUCUUGGAGUCUCAGAGUGGUGAGCGGUGGAAAGACAAAAUGAGGGAUCACUUGAUCUGCUCUGUUUUCAGAAAUGAUCUCCUGUAAAUCCUUACAGAAGCGUAUAUCUAGGUGUUGGAGCUGCUUAAGGCUUCCGAUCAUAGACGCUGAAAAUAUGUAUUUUAAUUUAUGACAACGAUGCACAGUCAAUCGUGUUAAAUUUUGAAAGCGAGGAAACAUGACCGGAAGAUUAUUGUAGUGCCAAAUCUUGUCGACAUUAAUUUCAUAUAUCUCCAAAGCCUCCAAGUUAGGCAACGCAACCUAAAAAAAUAAGAAUUUCUCGUUAGAUCCAAUAUCCAUAUGGGAAGCACUUGUUGAAAUUUUCUUCUUUGAUUACAAAUUAAUGCAAGUCUGAAUCAAUUUCCAACUGACAGCUGAGUAUGCAUUCUAAUUCAUACUACUUGUUAAGAGCUCAAUUAGUGAGCGCGUGAGAUUCUUUUUAUCCUUUUUUCCAUUUUCUUUCAAAUCUUUAAAUGAUUUAAUUACGAAAAAUUAAAUGAUUAAGCCCAUUUUAGUUGACCAAUUUUCUUAAUUAUAUGAAUAAAAUCUGUUAUAUAUGAAGAAAAUGUUAGCCUACGCACCUUCUCGUUGAAAAGCAGAGUUGAAGUAUCCAAAGUGAUUUCGCUGGAGCUAUACGUAGUCGUCGAUUCCUCCUGCGACGCUGGUCUGUUUGGUGAUGCUGAAGGAGUCUUUACUUCACGGCAGAAAUUUGUAACCUCUGGAAGAUUCCCCAGACUCAAAUAUCUUAAUUGAGCAAACUCUAUCUUCUCAAUUGCAUUAUCAACUUCUUCCCCAAUUGCAAAAAUCUCUUUCAUCUUGCUGCAAUUAAUAACUGCAAUUCUCUCAAGUCUUGGAAGGCAUUUUGUAGUAGAGAGCCAAAAGAUAUUACUCAAUUUAUCACAACUAUAUGCUUCUAUGGUUUUGAGUUUGUUGAAAGACUCUACUUUGAGCCGAUCAAUACAUAUCCUCUCCAUGUUGAUCAAGUUGUGAAGGAUAAGUGACUCCAAAGGAGGAAAGGCAUCACAAGCGACCAUCUCCCUGGAAUCGACGAUACAAAAGAUGUCAGGAUUAUUUUGAACCCAGAGAAGCUUCAAUUGUGAAAAGCCCUCCGUGUCCAAAUUGAAAAGAACACUCUCGAUGCCUUGCAGCUUGUCCAACCAUAAGCAUUCAACGUUAUUGAUGCCCUGCAAUUUCAUGGAGCAAAUGUCCAUAAAAUCAAGCUUGAGCUUCAAUGCUCUUAAACUCUUGCGAUCUCUGUCGAUCACAAAGUGCUGCCAACUUUUAAACCAUCUGUGUCUAAAAAGCAUGGGAUGUGUGAAUAACCCAUUUCCAAUAUGUAUUUGGAACCUUUCGAGCUUUCUGGCCAAAAAGCCUUCUGGUAAAAUACUAUCAUUUUUAACAUCAAUUUCUAGAGUGGUUAGCCGAGGUAAAUGCAUCAAUUCAUCAAGGCUAGCAUUACUUCUUUUGCUGUUGGCUCUUUCAACCUCCCAUUCAAUGGAGCAAUUACCCAUAUACAAUUCUUCUAAUCGGAUUAAGCUUGAUAUGACAUUUGGGGCAAUAACUUUCAGACGGAAACAGUCUGUUAAAUCUAACAACCUUAGCUUAGUCAGUUGACCGAGUGCUUUAGGCAACUCUACAAUAUCAGAUUCCAAAAAGCUGAUGAUUUCUAGAUUUUCCAACUUUCCAAUAAUGGCUAUGUCUAUGCCUCCCAAAAUGCUUUGAUUAAGACAGAGUGUCUGAAGAUUUACUAGAAGACCAAUUGAAGAUGGCAAUGACAAUAACCGCAUUCUAGUCAAAUCCAAAACCCGAAGCUUUUUCGUCCUUUUGAAGAAGUUCUCAGGAAUAUUAGGCACAGCAAAAGAGUUCUUGGGAGACAUGAGUAGAAGUUCAAGUUGUAGAGAUUCGGACCCUUCAAGAAUGUCAUUAAUAAUACUAUCUUUUAAAGAAAUUGCAAGAUAUUUUUUUAAUUCAUCUGCAUUUGGCCAUUUCCAAUCAUCCUCAUUUCUCACCACAAAUCCAAUUUUGUCACGACAUGCAAUUGAAAUGGCAACAUCGCGAACAACGUCGUGCAUAGAAAAGUAUUUACUGCCACCAUCCUCAAGCAACAAACAAGAGUCUCUUAGUUGAUGGACCCAUGCAUCUAAUUUGUUAUGUGCAUCUUCUAGCUUGUGGACACUUUUAAAUACACCCCAGCCCAUGCUAUAUUUGAACAAGUCCAUAAUUGGUGCUGGCGUAAUAAGACUACACAGUAAAAAAGUUUUCUUGAGUUGCUCACCUCUUAAGUACUUGUAACUCAGCUCAAUUGUUGAGUAUGCCUCUGCUGGUACUCCUUCGUCGAAGCUCGCCUCUGAAGGCGUUCGGAGUUCUUGCAAGGCAUUCUUCCACACAGGCAGCUCUUUUUUUCUCAGUGCCUUUGCUACUGUGAUUAGGGCAAUAGGCAAACCUCCGCAUGCCUUGGCUACACUUGUUGCUGUAGAUUUUAACUCACGAUUUUCAACAUAAUCACCAGCCAUUAUCUUGAACAAACUCCAGGCUUCUUGUUCAUUUAAAAUGCCAAUCGAGAAGUUUUUUUCAGAUCCCAUCCUUAACAGCACAUCAAGAUCUCUUGUUGUGAAUAAUAAUUUACAUCCUCUGUGCUCAACUCCAAAAGGAACUCCAAUAGUCCCCAAAUCAAGAGGUUUCCAGAUGUUAUCCAGAAUCACAAGGAUCUUCUUCUCAUUCUUCAAUCUUUCAUAUAGUCUACUAGCUCUUCUAGACUCAGCUUCCUCGGACAACUGUAGGCCUAACGUUACCGCAAUUUCCUCUUGGAUCUUUUUUAUGUCUGGACUUUGGGUAACCUCCGAAAAAGCCACCAUAUCGUAAAGCUUGUCUUCAAUGGCUCGCCUUGCAAACUCCCGCACCAGUGUCGUCUUUCCAAUGCCGCCCAUGCCGUAGACGCCAAUGAUGCUGACAUCAACAUCGAUCAAUGCAUUUUGUAUGGCCUUCAAAGUAGAAAGUCUUGAUUCGAAGGCCUCGUAGCCUUUGUGAGACUUGAGCCAAAUCUCCUCCGGAAUGGUACGGUAGGAAAUUCUAUCAUCAAAUCUCCCAGCUUCUUCUCGGAGUUUAAAAAGGGCCUCCUUCUCUGUUUCUGCUUUCUUUCCAUGCUGAUAGCGAGUAAUCCAAUUAGGAAACAGCCCCAUGAGACAUCGUUCAUUUGCUUUCUCUUCGUCUUGAAUGAAUUUGGCUGCCUCCUCAAUGCUCUUGUUCGCAUUAACCAGCCAUUUCUCAACCUUCUCUUCAAUCUUUUCACUUUUUCUUUCAGCCUCAGAAACUCUGCGCUGAAUGCUUUCUCUUUCAUCCUUGAGCCCAUCGAGUUCUUCCUUGAGAUUCUCAAAGUUGGCAGCGGAGUUAUACCAAUAACUAAAUUCGCGUUGUGCGUGAGGAGACAAGCAGUUUACAAUGCUUUUCAAAAUGUCCAUUGUUUUUUUGGGUUGGGGGGGGGGGGGGGGGGGGGGGGGGGGGGGGGGGGGGGAGGGGGGGGAAGGGAACGAAAUAGAAAUAGAACAGGGUCAUCGACCGCGCAAUUGAUAAUCAAGUAGAAGCAAAACAAGGCAAAAUUGGAAAAAGAAAUGAUAUUUGUACAAAACAAGGGGAAAAUCAGUGUAACAGAAGAGAAUCAAAGUGUUUUUGAGAUCAGAAAAUUGAAUCAAGAAAAGGGUUGCUUGAUCCAAUGAAAUGCAAACAGCUGGUGGCAAAAGGGAACGAAGCUAAAUAAGAAAACGGCUAGCACGAGCAGUGACCACGAUAAAUAGAAGCAAAGUGUGUAUGAGAUCAAAAGACGAAAAUCAGGAGAGGUUUUCUUGACUGAGAAUUGAAGGCAAAGAGUAGGAGCUGACGAAUACGGGGAUCAAGAGGGAAAAACUGCUUGCUCGUAAAACUACUUUCAAGCGAAUCUGAUAAAAUUAUUUCAAUACUCAUGGGCGACUCCUUUUUAAACUGCAGAAGGAAAAAAAAAAAAAAAAAAAGAGUUCUGAAUUUCAAUAUAUUAAUUUUUAUCCUAAUUUAUGUUGAGAUUCGUAAUCUCGUCUCAAUGAUUAAUUAGUAGAUAUUCUUUCUAACAAAUAUGUGUUGAAUAGAUAUAUUUCUUGACUAUUAGUAAGUUAGAUAUAUUUUGGCAUAGGAAUGAAAGUACCAAGUUGUGUCAUAUUAGAAUAAAAAUUUGAGCUAAAAAUAUUUUUCUAUGACCUUUUAAUUAUUUGUCAGCAAAUAAUUAAGUCAUAUAAAAAAAUUAAUAAUCUGAAUUAGUCUUUAAGUAUUAUAAAUAUUAUUUUUAUUUUUAAUUAUAAUAUCAUUAUUUAAAAAUAAUUGCUUGACUUAUAUUAGUAACAUUACGAUUGUCAUAAAACAUGUGAUCCUGAUCCAAUAUCCAUUAUUUGUGAUCCUUAAUCAAUAAAAUAUCUAACAAUAUCUUCACCUAAAGUUUGAGACAUGUGAUCCUUAUUCCACUGCGUCAAUUACACUCCAGACCAAUGCUGCCGUCAUUAUCGAACGGUCGAUAUCCAACACUUGCACGAAGAUUCCAAGAAGUUGCGUGGCUGCCGACUUUUAGAUGCAAAGCCUCAUUGUGUCGAUGUUACACAAAAGAGAGCAAGUCCGGGUAAUUGCCGAAACUUAGAACUAAACAGUAGCUUAGUCAGAAAAUCAAACGCCAGUAACCGUUAAAAUGACCGAUAAAAAUAUAAAGAAACCAAAGCUUUAAAAGAAAUCAGCCAAAUCACGAAGAUUGAAGAGUAAAUCUAUGGUUUUAGAUUUUUAUUUUAUUUUUUUAGAUAAUAGAUAUUAUUUUGAUGAAUUUUUAAUAUUAGAAUAAUGUUAGGAAUUUCGAUAGUAGAUUUCUAACUUGAGAUCCAAUUGUUAUGUAUCAUUUUUUUAUUGGAUAAUGAAUUUCAUAACUAGUAAAAUUAAUAUUUCGAUCAUCUAAUAAAUGACUAUCAUAUCAGUUGAGACUCAAUUAUUGGGAUCCUUAACAUUGCUCUUACUAUUAAAUUGGACAUCUUAGCUAAAUCAAAUUAGAUUUUAGGCUUUUAUCCAACAUCUCUUUUUUUUUUUUUUUGGUCUAUUUGAAGUGAACGAAAUAAAAAUACAACAGGUUCAACGACUGGGCAAUUGAUAGUCAAGUAGAAACAAAUCAAGGCUAAAUGGGAAAGAGAAAUGAUAUUUGUGCAAAACAAGGAGAAAAUCAGUGUAACUGAAGAGAAUCAAAGUGCUUUUGAGAUAAAAAAAAAUUGAAGCAAGAAAAGGGUCGCUUGAUUGAAUGAAAAUGCUAAGAGCUGAUGGCAAAAGAGAACAAUGUUAAAUAAGAAAACAGCUAGCUCUAGCAGCGACCACAAUAAACAGAAAAGUUGAGAUGGAUUUACAAUAUUUCUGUCUUUCUUCAUGCUUUAACAAAUAUUGCUCUAUAAAAAAAAAUAUUGAGCGUUUUUAUUAUUGGAAUCACAAAAGACCUACACAAUAUAGCAAGUGACUAGGAAUAAAUAAGAAUAUAUAACUCUCUCUCUCAUUCUCACUCUAGCUUUUAAUUGUCACUCAAAACCCAUAAUUCUUCCUUAAAGUGUAAGCAAAUAAGAGAUGACAGCGUCUGGUUGUCAUACGCGCCUUUUAGUUUUCGGAUGACAUGGGGUACACUUCUUCUGUAAACCGAACACGACAUGUCGUACUCUUUGUUUUGAGAUCAUAUUUCAAACUCUUCAUGCUAUGAAUGAAAGAUAAACUACAAUCAUCAAAAUAUUUAGUGUUUAUUUGGUAAUGUAAUGUCAUAGUUGUUGUGAAUUGAAAUUAUUUAUGUAAGAUAAAAGGAUUUGGGUCAUCGUUUGUUAUUCUCUGGCAAUAUUGUUUGGCCGUGACUACUUGAAAUUAUUUCUGUAAGAUAAAAGGAUUUGGGUCAUUGUUUGUUAUUCUCUGGCAAUAUUGUCUGGCCGUGACUAUUUGUUAAAUAUUUAAAAAAUAAAUUUAUAUUUAUUAAGUAUAAAAAAAAUAAACAAACAAAAAUAAAAGGAAAAGUUUAUACAUUACAUAAAAUAAUAAGAACAAUAUCAAUAUUUCACACUCUAUAAUUGAGUGAUGUGUUGUCCAACUGCCAUACUGAUAAACAGUGAACUCGAAACUCAAGUACUACAAGUCGUUUAGAGGAUUCAGUCUCGGAUGACUUGUCACUUGUAGAAGUUCCUGAAGCCAGAACCGACAUAAUCUUAGUCAUCUGUUCUAUCUUUAGUAGUACACGUGGUUUGCACAUGUGUUGAAGCUAACUCUUGCUUGGAUCAAGAAACGACGUCUCUGAGUGCAGUUUCUUAAUCACACUUAAAUCAGCGUGUGACAAGCACGUGAGGCAGAGCUUCUUGGAUAGAUUUGGCGGGAAUGGUAGUUGGCGUAACAACCCAGAAACAGAGGAUAAAAAGGUGCAGGCUUUGUCAUCGUCUUCACAUGAUUUGGGAAACACUGAGAGUAGAGAGAAGAUAGAGAGAGAAAGGGGUUUACAAGUUCUUGUUCUCUGUAAAUCAAUUCCUAUUCUUGUAUUGUUUUGUGAACGAAAUAGUGAAAGACUGUUGCUUUGUUUCCAGUGGAUGUAAGCACCACUUCUUGGUGCUGAACCACUUAUGCUUGGUGUCUUGUUUGUGAUCUUGAAAACUUUGAUUCGUGUGUGUAUUUGUUGCUGAAUAGUCUGUGUUAAUCAUUCUUAAAACCAUCGAUACAGAACUAAGUGUCUUGGGGAGAAUUUGGUUAAUCUUAUCAAAGCCAAAUUCACAACACAUACAUUGGUCCCAAACAGAGACUUAAAUAUUAAAGUCCAAAGUUAUUGUGAUGAUGACUUAUAAUCGCCAAACUUGACAUAGGGGUAAUCAUGCAUUAUAAGGUGCUGAUUUCUUCCGAUCAGAACCUUAUUUUUCAUUUACAAAUAAAUAAAUGAUGUGACUUCACGGUUGGCGGGGUCCUUUGUGUCAUUUGGGCAUUUCACUAAAUGAUUGAUUGCAGCAGGAAGAUUCCUGGAAGUUGCCAUUUGCCAAUGCUACUAACAUUUUCAAACUUGGAAAACCCUUCAAUCAAUCUUUUAGUGGUAGGCUCUGGUAGCUUGGUUUGAUUAUGACAUAUGAUUAUUUGAUAAUAAAGCUAGAGGAUGUAUUAAUAUAAAAUUUGUUUAUUGGUGUUGAAGUUAAUUAUCUCAUUAAUAAUGGUAUAAAAAGUUAAUUACUAAGAAACACAUAGCAGUAUUCUGGGAUAUAAUUUUAUAUCAUAACUUUGUAAGUGUAUAAUUACGCAUUAAAUUAACAAAAUUAUUUUAAAAUAUUUCGUUAGAAAAAAUAAAUUAUAUUCUUUUUAUUUCAAAUAAUCUAUAAGUUAACUCAAAACAUAAUCAAGUUGAGAAUUAAAAUAAUGCUACUGUAUGAGAGGAUUUUUAUUUUUUCCCGAAGUUUCACUAGGAAAUUAUUGAUAUAUAGCUUUAUUCGGAUCAUCUGAGUUCAAACGACAAAUAAUUGAAAGACUAAAGUAAAUAGACCAGCCAACAACUUUGUACAGCAGAGUUCAAAAAUUAAGGUCAUGGUAUUGAGGUGUUUUGUCUUGAAAAGUACGGCAUAAUGAUAAAAUAAAAACUAUUAGUCUUUGGUAAGAUAUAACUUUUAAAUAAUAAUUUUCACAAAAAUACAAAGAAUAUUUUAUAAAGUACUUCUAUAGUGAGGAGACCCUCACUUUGUUAAAGUGAAAAUAUCAAUAAUAUACAAGAAACAUAUAUUCUAACAUAUUGAGAACUGUAUCUUUUUAAUCUAUUAGUGUAUUGAAAUAUGUGUUAUUUAGUUUGUUAGUGAUAUCAUCACUUUGUUAAAAUACGGAUGUCAGAACCAUUAUAUUUUAAAGUUUUACUUCAUUGCUUUAUUAAUCUUAUUACUAUUUCUCCUUUGCACUUCUAAAGAAACCAAUUAACCAAAGCUUUAAAAGAAAUCAGCCAAAUCACGAAGAUUGAAGAGUAAAUCUAUGGUUUUAGAUUUUUAUUUUAUUUUUUAGAUAAUAGAUAUUAUUUUGAUGAAUUUUUAAUAUUAGAAUAAUGUUAGAAAUUUCAAUAGUAGAAUUCUAACUUAGGACCCAAUUGUUAUGUGUCAUUAUUUUAUUAGAUAAUGAAUUUCAUAACUAGUAAAAUUAAUAUUUCGAUCAUCUAAUAAAUGACUAUCAUAUCAGUUGAGACUCAAUUAUUGGGAUCCUUAACAUUGCUCUUAGUAUUAAAUUGGACAUCUUAGCUAAAUCAGAUUAAAAAUCAAAUUAGAUUUUUUGCUUUUAUCCAACAUCUCUUUUUUUUUUUGGGGUCUAUUUGAAGUGAACGAAAUAAAAAUACAACAGGGUCAACGACUGGGUAAUUGAUAGUCAAGUAGAAGCAAAUCAAGGCUAAAUGGGAAAGAGAAAUGAUAUUUGUACAAAAUAAGGAGAAAAUCAAUGUAACAGAAUUACAGAAGAGAAUCAAAGUGCUUUUGAGAUCAGAAAUUGAAGCAAGAAAAGGGUCGCUUGAUCCAAUAAAAAUGCAAAGAGCUGAUGGCAAAAGGGAACAAAGUUAAAUAAGAAAAUAGCUAGCGCUAGCAGCGACCACAAUAAACAUAAAAAGUUGAGAUGGAUUUACAAUAUUUCUGUCUUUCUUCAUGCUUUAACAAAUAUUGCUCUAUAAAAAAAAUAUUGAGCAUUUUUAUUAUUGGAGUCACAAAAGACCUACACAAUAUAGCAAGUGACUAGGAAUAAGAAUAUAUAACUCUCUCUCUAAUUCUCACUCUAGCUUUUAAUUGUCACUCAAAACCCAGAAUUUAUCCUUAAAGUGUAAGCAAAUCAAAGAUGACAGCGUUUGGUUGUCAUACGUGCCUUUUAGUUUCUGGAUGACAUGGCGCACACUUCUUCUGGAAACCCAACACUACAUGUCGUACUCUUUUGUUUUGAGAUCGUAUUUCAAACUCUUCAUGCUAUGAAUGAAAGAUAAUCUACAAUCAUCAAAAUAUUUAGUGUUUAUUUGGUAAUGUAACGUCAUAGUUGUUGUGAAUUGAAGUUAUUUCUGUAAGAUAAAAGGAUUUGGGUCAUCGUUUGUUAUUAUCUGGCAAUAUUGUCUGGCCGUGACUAUUUGUUAAAUAUUAAAAAAAUAAAUUUAUAUUUAUUAAGUAUAAAAAAUAAAUAAACAAACAAAAAUAAAAGGAAAAGUUUAUACAUUACGUAAAAUAAUAAGAACAACAUCAAUAUUUCAUACUCUAUGAUUGAGUGAUGUGUUGUCCAACUGCCAUACAUUGGUCCCAAAUGGAGACUUAAAUAUCAAAGUCCAAAGUUAUUGUGAUGAUGACUUAUAAUCGCCAAACUUGACAUACGAGUAAUCAUGCAUUAUAAGGUGCUGAUUUCUUCCGAUCGGAACCUUAUUUUUCAUUUACAAAUAAAUAAAUGAUGUGACUUCAUGGUUGGCGGGGUCCUUUGUGUCAUUUGGGCAUUUCACUAAAUGAUUGAUUGUAGUAGGAAGAUUCCUGGAAGUUGCCAUUUGCCAAUGCUACUAACAUUUUCAAACUUGGAAAACCCUUCAAUCAAUCUUUUAGUGGUAGGCUCUGGUAGCUUGGUUUGAUUAUGACAUAUGAUUAUUUGAUAAUAAAGCUAGAGGAUGUAUUAAUAUAAAAUUUGUUUAUUGGUGUUGAAGUUAAUUAUCUCAUUAAUAAUGGUAUAAAAAGUUAAUUACUAAGAAACAAAUAGCAGUAGUUAAUUGGUGUCAUAUUAUUGGGAUUCUGGGAUAUAAUUUUAUAUCAUAACUUUGUAAGUGUAUACUUACUCAUCAAACUAAUAAAAUUAUUUAAAAAUUUCAGUUGGAAAAAAUAAAUUAUAUUAUUUUCAUUUCAAAUAAUCUAUAAGUUAACUCAAAACAUAAUCAAGCUGAGAAUUAAAAUAAUGCUACUGUAUGAGAGGAUUUUUAUUUUUUCCCGAAGUUUCACUAGGAAAUUAUUGACACAUAGCUUUAUUCGGAUCAUCUCAGUUCAAACGACAAAUAAUUGAAAGACUAAGCUAAAUAGACUAGCCAACAACUUUGCACAAGAGAGUUCAAAAAUUAAGGUCAUGGUAUUAAGGUGUUCUAUCUUGAAAAGUAUAGCGUAGUAAUAAAAUAAAAACUAAUAGUCUUUGGUAAGAUAUAACAUUUAAAUAAUAAUUUUCACAAAAAUACAAAGAAUAUUUAUAAAGUACUUCUAUAGUGAGGACACCCUCACUUUGUUAAAGUGAAAAUAUCAAUAAUAUACAAAAGACAUAUAUUUUAACACAUUAAAAAUUGUAUUUUUUUUUAUCUAUUGGUGUAUUGAAAUAUGUGUUAUUUAGUUUGUUAAUGAUAUCAUUACUUUGUUAAAAUGAGAAUGUCGUUACUAGAGAAUCAUUAUAUAUACAUAUAUAAAGUGCCUCUGUCCAAGACCUAGACUUUAUUAACAUUUAAGAAAGCAAAUAUAUUUUAUAUGGUAUAAUAGUGUAAUAACAUCACACAAUUAUAUCAUAUAGAGUAAUAGUUUUUCGAACUUUAAUAAAGUUCAAGAUUAUAGAAUGAAUGAUUUUUAUAUAUUAUAAAUUUUUUUAUCAUAAAUGGAGGACAAAAUUAACAUAUUUUCAAAUUAUAAUAAGUAUUUAUCAAAUAAUUUAACAUUGCAAUUUCUCCUAACUAGUAUAGUAAAUAAUACGACCUAGGAGAUACAUUCAAAGCAUUUCAUAAGUUAGUUGUUAAUAAUAAAUGAUAUAUGCAGCUCCAAUCAUCAUUGUACGGUGAGUAAUUUCCAGUUAUAAAUAGAUAUUACUCCCUUCCCAGCAAUUUUUGAUGACUUAAUUUAGUGGGAUCAAAAUCAACAUUGAAUUUUUGACCAGCUGCCAACAACUUGUGAGCAGUUCACAGUGGGUACUGCACAUGAUGCCUGUUUCUCCUUUUGCAUCUAUUUUUGUUGUUAACAUUAAUUUCAAUAGCAGCUCGUUAAUCCCAAUUGUUGAUUUGGGACUAGAUAAGAAUUUAUCUUGGAACUCCAAUUCUCCCAAUUAUUUUAGUUGACAAUAUAUUUAACAUUAUUAAUUGCAUAUUAUUUAAUUAUCAGUAUAUAAUAUUCUUUAAUUUUCUAAUUUUAUAGGAUUAGACACAAAAUUGAUUAUGCCUUUUGAAAUUUAAGGGUUAUGUCAAUUGAAUAGAAAACUUGGAGGUAAACUUGUGGAUGUUUUUGUUGAUUAUCAAUUUAUGCAUGAAUUUUUGUACGUUUACUUUGGUUUAUAAUUAUUACUUUUAAAUAUUUUUGUUGGUUUGAUUUAGGGUCAAUUUGGUAAUCCUGUAGCUUUUAAAAUAAUUACAAUUAGUUAUGCUGUAGAAAUUGAUCAAUCGUCAAGAGAAUCAGCUGAACAUUUAGUAAAAUUUAUUUUUAAAAGUACUUUUAGUUUUAAAAGCGUUGUAUGAAUAAAACUGUUACACUAAAAAUUAAAUGUAUUGCCCACAUGGGUAAAUAAAGCUAUAUAUUACAACUGUUACACUAAAAAUUAAAUGUAUCUUAAACCCAAACUUCUUCUUCCUUUUUUUUUUUACUAACAAAAUUAAAAACAAUAGUGAACACAUUCUUUAAUAAACAAUAAGUAAUAAAUAAAAUCGUGUUAAAUUUCUUAAAAACUUUCUUUCACGGUUUGCUAAAUAUUUUUAUUAGUAUUUUAAAUAAAUAAAAAUAGUUGAUUUAAUUUUUUUAAAUAAACUUAUUAGGUUCAUGUAAAGAUGUUUUUGUUAUUUUAAAAAGUGUAGAAAGUACUCCUAAAAAAAAGCGUAGAAAGUAAAACUUAAUUUUUUAAAUUUAUUUGCUGAGUGCAUAAAUAAUUGAGUGUUCAUAAUGAUUUUUAAAGUAUAGAUAGUCGGACCCUAAUUUUUUAAUAUAUGAAAAUUUUGCUAAUAUGUUAAUGAGAAUUAAAAAGAUAAUUAAGGGAGGCAAUCGAGACAUUCAGGAUAGUUAGGAUGGGACAUGAUUGUGAGUGGUUUGAUAUUGGUCCUAAUUUUGAUCACAAAUAUAUAAACAGGACGAGUUUAUCUCUACUGACAUUCCAUUUGAUAAUUAAGAUGAGAGCGGAAUUGUCAAAUCUCAAAUCAUCCUGAACCAUUGCCAUCAAAGGUACUCUCACUAAUAAUAUCUAAAGAAAAAUCUACAUCUAUUUCAUACUUUUUUUUUUUAAACGGAAAGAGCCUUCAUGGGGCUUGAAAUGUUAUCCCAAAUAGUAUUAAGAAUAUCAAGCCAUGAUUGGGUUUGAGACAAACAAAUAUUACAUAGUUAGGAUACGUAGUUAUAGUGUCCCAAUUUAUGUAGUAUCUAUCAUUUAGUGCACAUAUAAAAUAUUAAUCAGCUUAAUUAAUUUAUAAAAUUUAAAUCUAAUUAAUAAGUGAUACAUAAAAGCCAAGUGCAAUAUUGUAUAUGCAAAACAUGUUUGUGGAUCAUUACAAAACUUGCUCUUGAAAACAAGCAAGAAAGCUUAAUUAAGAACUUAAAACAAAAAGAAUUAGAUUGAAAACAGUCAAGCUUUAUUUUUUCAAGGAUGGAGCUUAUAAAUCUUCAAGUACCAACAUAUGCUUGGCCCAAUUGUUGUUAUUAAAAUUUCAAUAUACAUAUAUAAGUAUGAUAUAGCAAAAAUUUGAUGGUACAUAUCUCGGAAUAUACUAGUUCAUGGAUGCAUUUGAUUAUUGUUUCCAUAAAUUUGAACCGGGAAGGAUGACAUGAUAAAAUUUGAUUUUAUGGUAUGGUUGAUUUCAGAUCUCAUGCCCUCAUUUCUUAAGAUAAUCAAAUUUUCUCUGGCAUCUUUUGCAACUGUGGAAAUAUCAAUUAUGAUCAAUCAAAACGAUUUCAAAACCUUUUAACGAGACAUAUUUAUAAUACAAUAUUGUGAAAAUUACAACAAAAAAUUAAUUUAUUAAAUAAUAUAUUAUUAUCCAACGAGCACACAAAAAUGAAUUCGUACAAAUCUAAAAUACUUAGCAAUUUUCAAAUAGAAUUUACCAUGUACUACAAGAAAAUAGGGUAUAUGUGACCCCUAAUGUGAAUGCAAAUUUGCAAAAGCAGCCAUUACGCAUGCCACUAACUUCUAACUUUGCAACCUCGAGUUGCUUACUUGCUUUUGUUACCCUUUAUGUGACGGCCACACUGCUGUCACAUAUGUUACUAACCACGUGACGGUAAAGAGCCGUUCGGUAUAGCACUAUUUUAGAAAUUUAAAUUUAUUUCCAGUUAGAAAACUAUUCGCUGGAAUAGCCACCAUCGUAAACCUAACUGGUUGCCGGCGAACGGCGUAAAACACCGGGCAUCUUCUUCUUCAUCGUAUUCUCCCUUCAUCUUUUGAGGUAAGCUUGUGAUUAUGAGUUUCUUCUCUGACUUAGCUUGUAAUUAUAGAUUUUGAUUUUUUUUUUUAAAUUCGUAUUGUAGCCAUUAUUGUCAAUUUUUGUCCCGCCAGCAAUAUUUUUUUAUUCCUACAAGUUGAAGCCCCUGUGUUCUUGUUCCAUUGGUGAGUUUGCUCACUCAAAUUAAUUUUGUUCUGCGGAAUUUACAAAGUUCAAAUGGAUUCAUUUGAAUUACUAUUGAAUUUAGCUUUAAUUCCAACAUCCAUUCUAAUGUUUUGCUAUUAGAUUUAGUUUAAUUUUAUGUUUAAAGCAUCUACAAUGAAUAGCGGAGCUUGGGUUUUAGUUUCAUUUUCUGGAUAACUUGUUUUAGUUUAUCUUGUAUGCUCACCAAGUGCUUGUUAUAUUGUCUGAUAAGUUAUAUACAUUGCUGAUUCUAUAUUAAUAAUGUUACGUUCUAUUUUCAGAAAUUAUAAUACAAAAGUUUUUACAAUGGCGUGCAUCUACAAACUGAAUUGACUUGUAGAAUAAGAGCUUGCAGUAAAUGAAAGUUCAUAUUGUGUAAGAGCAUGGAGAUGUAAAGCAUCAUUACCAUAUCUACAAAGUGCUUUCAUUAUGGUCAGAUGCUCUUCUUGAACUUUGAAAGGUGCCUCGUUCAAGUCCUAGCUAUAACUACUAGCUUUGAUUAAUUAAGUUCCAAUACUAGCUGAAACAGAUUUAUUUAAUUAAUUAAUUGUGUAUAUACUAAUUAUAUUGAAAGUAUAUGAAACUUUUUUUUUUUUUAAACAUGAAUGACUUCUAAAUGACUUAAAAACCUAAAGGAUGUGUGAAAUAAUGCUCAUUUCACUUGAAUGAGCCUAUUAAUACUUUCUAUGAUUGUCAAUAUUGGCUUAAGCAUUUCAGUUAAGUGGUUUACCUAACAGAGAAAAAAAUUUAAUAGAAAACUUCAGAGUUCUAACAGAAAUAUAGUUCACUCUGCAGAUAUAGUUAUUUUACGGUAUACAAAUUAAGUUGUCCUAAUCUCAAUGUCCUGUGACCGAUUUUAUUUUAUAUAGUCAUUAAUUUUUGCCAUGGUUUUUUGUGUUUAUGAGUAUGAAAUAGUGGGAUUUGGUGUACCUUAGCAUCUUUUGAAAAUUCUCUUUAAGUAUGGCCAACAGAAAUAUACAUAUAAUCAAGUUUCUUAAUUGUGUAUAUUAGUUUUGGGUACGAAUGUUCCUAUUCUAGUUCUAGACAAAGCUUCUUUGUUUUGGUCUUCAGAUUUCCAGUAGGUUAAGUUAAUCAACUAUCAUAACUGGCUAGCUACUUAUUGUCUGCCUUGGCGCCAUUACCCAGGCCAUUAUAUUGCAUAGCAUAAGGAAUAGUGAUUAGGUGAUUAUUAGUGAUUUGUUGAGCUUAUUAUUGACCAAACAAACAUAUUCGCCUUUGCCCACAACCUAGUUUGAUUAGUUUUAGACCACAAAGAGCCUUGAUCUAUUCAUUGGCUUUAUUAUUUUUAUUUGGUUUUUCUUUCAACAAUAUUUUUGAUUUCUUAUAAAAAUAUUCAUUGGUUUUUAAACACCUAGUCAUUGGCUAUAUGAAGCAAAUUAAAACUGAGGCUUUGGAUCAAUUUCUUCUAACAAGAUACAAAUGAGCAUAACCUUUCUCCUCUAAGUAAUUUUUUUUAAUAUCCUUGAUUUGUAAGGAUCUGGAGGCCUGAAAUCCUCUAGAUUUUUUUUAACACUGUCAAUGUCCUUUUUAUUCUGAAAAGGAAAUAAAAGGUUUUAUCUUUCAUACCCUAAUAGUAGGCUGGCCUUGUCUUAACAUGGCUUCUUGAGGAUUUGCAAGAUUCAUAGUUCCCCCAACACACGCCCCCCAAAAAAAAAGAAGAAAAAGAAAGAAAAAAGAAAAAAGGAAGAUUUUGCAAGAUUCACCACCAGUUUUUUUUUUUAAUUUAUUAAUUGUGUGUACGUACUAGUUAUAUGUUGAAAGAAUAGGCAGAAGUAUUUCAACAUGAAUGACAUAAAACUUAUUGCUCAGUAAACAUAAUCUGCAUCAGUGGGAAAAUGUAUUUAUCGUUUGUAUUUUUUAUGGUUUUGCUUAAGAAAUGAUAUGUGAAAUAAUGCUACAUUGUAUCAGGAAUAAAUUGAAGAGAUUUAUGAUAUUUAUGUGUUAUUCAAAUUUCAGAUUCAAUUUUAAACUUUUGAUACGUGCAUUGAAAGCUUAGACUUGUUUAAGAAAUUAUUAAUAGACACAUGUUGUAUUAGUGUCAUCUUUGGAUGAUAGUGAGGAUCAUAUGUCUAUUAAUAAUUCUUGAAUUGUCCAGGCUUGGACAGUUUGGGAAUGCAUAGUUCUCUCUGGUAGCUAGUAGCUGAAGUUUUCUUCCCACGUAAAAAUGGCUUUUUCGGUAGCUGCUCCUCGUGUUCUCUGGGUACGUACUAGGUGAAUGGGUGUCAUGUGUUGUUUUGGCAUAACGCAUAAACACUUAUAUAGCUUUGUCGUGAGCUUGGAGAAUUAUAGGGAGAUGGUGCUGAAAUUUUUAUAAACGUAGAAGAAAACUUUAGGUACUUGAGAUUGAAAAAACAUAUGCAUUCUUGAGUGGGAUAUGUAGGAUUUAUCACUUACCUUUGGUAAAUAUGAAGGGAAUGUUGACUCCUUGAAAUAUGCCCAAACCCAUGGAGUAUCUAAAUAAGUCUGAAAACCAAACACUGUUACCUACUAGACGACAAAGCAGAAAAAUUUUCUUGACUCGCUCACCUUUUAAAUAAUUGAAACUCAGCUCAAUACUUGAAUAAGUUUCUGCAGGCACAUCUUCGAAGUUUACCAUUGAAGGCGUUCGGAGCUCUCGCAAGGCAUUCUUCCAUUCAUGGAGACUCUAGUUUCUCAGUGCCCUCAACGCAAUGGGCAAACCUCCAUAUGCCUUAACUACAUUAAUUGCUGUAGACUUGAACUUACAAUUUUCAACAUCAUCACCAUUCAUUAUCUUAAACAAUCUCCAGGCUUCUUGUUCAGUUAGAUUGCCAAUCAAAAAGUUAUCUUUGGAGUCCAUACUUAAAAGCACAUUAUUAUCUCUUGCUGUCAGCAAUAGUCUACAUCCUUUAUGAUUAUUUCCAAAAGGAAUUCCAACCGUCUCCAAAUCAAGAUGUUUCCAGAUAUUAUCUAGAAUCACAAGAAUCUUAUUCUCACUCUUCAAUCGUUCAUACAGCCUACUAGCUCUUCUAUAUUCAGCUUCAUCGGACAACUCCAGACCUAACUUCUCUGCAAUUUCCCCUUGAAUCUUUUUUAUCUCUGGAGUUUAUGAAACCUCUGAUAAAACCACCCCAUAAAACAGCUUUUUUCCCUGGCUUGCCUAGCAAACUCUUUCACCAGUGUGGUCUUUCCAAUGCCGCCUAUGCCGUACACCCCAAUAAUGCUGACAUUCGCCUCCGUCAAUGCAUUUUUAAUAGACUGCAAAGUAGAAAGUCUUGAUUCGAAGGCCUCGUAACCACUGCUAGACUUAAGCCAUAUCUCCUCCGGAAUGGUACGGUGGGAAACAGUAUCAAACUUCUUAACUUCUUCUCCAAGUUCAAUAAUGGCCUUCACCUCCGUCUCUGCUUUCUUGCUAAGCUGAUAGCGACUCUUCCAAUGAGGACUCAAGCCCUUGACACAGCGCUUAUUCGUUGACUCCUCAUCUUCAAUGAAUUUGGCUGCCCGGUCAAUGAUGCCGUUCGCACUUCGCAGUAACCAGCCACUUUUCAACCUUCUCUUCAAUCUCUUCCCCUUUUUCUUUCGCCUCUGAAACCCUGCGCUGAAUGCUCGUAUGUUCAACCUUCAACUUCUCCAUUUCCGCCUUGAUAUUCUCAAAGUUGGCAUUGUAGUUCCAAAUAAACAAGUUGGCGUGCAGUUGGAGGAGCCAAGCAUUUUACAAGUUCCAAGACGAUAGUCACAAUGAUUUCCAGCAUCUCGAAUCCUGACAAAAACGUAGAAGCGAAGAAAGCCAAAGGAAAGUAAAAACAAAGAGACAGCGAUAGGACAAGCAAUUGUGUUUUUCAGAUGAGAUGAAGGAAACAAGAAAAGGGUUUCUAUCACGACGUAAAGAGCUAAAAGAGCUGAUGGGUACAGAAUAAGAAAUGAGACUGAGGAGUGAGCAAAGCUAAAUAAUAACAGAACAAGAACAAUGACGAAUAGAAGAAACAGUAGCAAAGAGCCGUUUAGAUGAUUAGAAUGAAACUAAGCGACUGGAAAUAGUAGAUGGUAGACUAAAGAGAAAGUGAUUGAUUAUUUUAGGAGGCCAAUUAACGUAAUGACAGAUCCGGUUUCGAUGUUUGUAAUUUGAGUAUGAGGUAAAUCGAUUCUUUGUCGAGCCAGUCAAAUACAAAGGCAAAUUAGUAAAACACGAGCCAGCAACUUUUACUCACACAAAAGCCAAUAAUAUAUUGAGAUCACGCAACAUUGCAAUAAAGUUAUCAUCAAGUUGUAGCCUUCUUAUUCAAUCAAUUAUGGCAUUAUCUCUAGCUCUGUAUUUUUCAAAAAAAAAAUUAUUAUUCAAAAGAUGUCUGUCAUUAAUUUUUCAAUGAUUAAAAUUAUAAUUUUUGUUUAAUAUAUAUAACGUAAAAUUUUAAAAGAAUCAGACAUGCAUUAGGGUUAAAAUAAAAAAUAUGGAGGUAGCUUUUAACUAGGUAAUUGGCUCAACUAUGGAUCAGUGUGAGAUCACUAUUUUUCUUAUUAAAAAAAAUUCCAGCCAAACAAUUGUCGCAAAAUCUUAAUAUAAAUUACAAAAAAAGACAAUAUUUUCUAAAAUCAUAGCAAUAAUUUAUAUUUUGAAUACCUGUAAAUAAACCACUUAGAAAGCUUUCGAAACACGAAUAUUGUUGUCGUUUUUAAAGACUUGACAUUUUGGGUAAUCUGAAUUAACAAUGCACAUCACUUGUUUGUCACAAUGUCCAAAUAAAUAAUUUUAAAAAAAAGUUAUUUUCAUUCUUUCUUUUCAGGUAUCCUAAUUCCUUUUGCAGUUUGAUUCCUCUUUUCCUGAAUUUCACACAGCGCACCCACAUUUUUUGACCAUGUGCACCUCCCCCUAUUUCUAUUAAAAAAUCAACUAAUCUAACUGUUUAGGCUGUUAUAAAUUUAAAAGACUAUACUACCCUUAUUUUGAAUGAAUUGGGUAUAUAAGUACUAAAAUACCCUUACAACUAAUAAAAUUUAAAUCAAAAAGUAAAAAUUUAUUAUAAUAUUUUUAAAUUUAUAUGUAUACGAUUUUUUCCCGGAUUACAAACCCAAGAUUAUAAACCUAGUAAAUUACAAAAUCAGAGGCAAAGCAUGAUUCCAAUGUGAAAGAAAAAAAUCAAACACACAUUCAUCAGUACAUUACAAAAUAAAUCCGAUAAUCCCACCAAAACAAAUAAAACCCAAUAGAAAGAAACCCUAAACUAAUGAUACCAAAAUCCCUGAGAGCAAAUUUCAUUGUAAAAUUCUAUUACAAAAUAAAUUCAUACUAAGAAAAUUCAAUAAAAAGAAACCCAAUAAUCAAAAAUCUUAAAACUAAAGAUAUCAAACCCAAAAUUAAAUUAUAGAGGUGGCGAAAGAAAAAGGGUUUUUUUAAUUAUAUAUAUUAUUUUAAUCUUGUGUUAAUUACCAUUCUACCCUUCUUUCCGUUAACAUUAGAUUUGAAAGAAAUGAGGGUGGUGGACAUGGUCUGUAGAUUGGGGGCACAAUGCAAAAUGUCAAAACAAUUGGGGCUAAUGCUAAAUUACACAUUAUUUAAAUUAAAUUAUCCUAAUUGUAUUUUUAUUAAUUAAUUAACAAUUAGUUUCAUUACUAUGAUAGUUUUGUCACUAUGUUUGUUACCAUCUCUCAAAAAAAAAAAAAAUUACUUUUACAUGUCGAAUUGUGUAACAACGAUUUAAUGAAAAAUUAGAAAACAGCACGACAUCUCGUGGCUUAACAUGGUCAUCAUGAAUAUCCCUUAUUAUUAAAAAAUGAACAAACAAACUCUUUUUUAAUACAUGUAGUCCUUUUUUUUAUAUUUCAAAAUAGUUAAACAGAUCCUGAAUUUGUGUGUUCCUCAAUAAAUUUUCAUGAUCAUUUUUUAAAAUAAGGGAUUUUUGUGAUUAUUUUGCCACGUCCAAGGAUGCCGCUGUUCUUGUCACCAAAAAUUAUUCUCAUAAGAGUCAUGAUUAAUUGGACGUCAGCAAUGAGGGCAUGUAAUGAAAAAAAUUUGUUUUGCAUGGGAUCCAAUAAUUUUAAUUACAAUGGUGGUGACAGACCCAGCUGGAAAAUCAACUGAUUUUAGAAUUCUGUUGAAAAUUCUUUAAAUGAUCACUAUAUCUCUAGUUCGAUUAUAUCCUUAAGCUCAUUGAUUCUUUUGUAUUGAUUUUGUUACUUCUUUUCUAAGAAAUAUUAUAAGAACUGCUCAGGCUGUAAGAUUGAUAAGCUUAAAGAGUCGGAACGAGGCUUACCAGUUCGUAAGCUUUUAAUUAUUUGGAUUGCUGUGCUUGCAACUGGUAAAUUUUUCAACUUCAACUCGAUAUAAUGAUUUUGGAGAGAACCAUUUACAGUGAUUUUCAAUUCUUUUGUGAUUUUUUUUUUCAGUUCUGCCAGUCUCAUCUCUCUUUCCCUUCCUUUAUUUUAUGGUGAGUGGAUUAUUAUUGCCUUCAGCGCAGUGGUUAUUAGUGAGAAAAUUUAUAUUUUCCUAUCAAGCUUGGUGAUUUUCUGAGAAAUAUAAGAAAAGACAAGUUUUAUAUGUCAAAUAAUUCAUUGCUUUUUCACAGCAGUCAUUUAUGAUUUCUUUUCAGAUUAGGGAUUUUCACAUUGCAAAAAGGGAGGAAGAUAUUGGAUUCUAUGCUGGUUACGUGGGUGAGUUAUUCUAUGUUUUUUUUUAUCGUAUUUAAUAAAUGACACACAGUAUGGAGUCCGUCUUGGGUACGAAUGUCCACACCUUAUAAAGUGCUGACUCACGCCUUUACAACUCUGGGAAGACAUUCUACCGAGACUUUACAUCACUGUAAACGCACUGUACAAGAGCUUUACAAUACGGACCCGCGUCUUUACAACUUUAAAGGGCCAAGUCUAUGCUUUAAAAAGUACAUAUGUUCGCACCUGGAAACGAUUUACAUAUGUAUGUAUAUAUGUAUAUAUGUAUGUAUGUGUGUGUAUAUAUAUGUAUGUAUGUAUGUGUGUGUGUGUGUGUGUAUGUAUGUACGACCAAUAAAACAGUUCAAAUUCCUCGAGAAGUUAUCCUAACAAGCAUCUUAAUACCUUGAUGAAAUUGAAGGGUCUUAAUACAUGCUUGGCAGAGCUCUAACAUCUGUUUUGUGGGGAAUGGUGGCUGACCGCUGUGGUCGAAAGCCUGUAAUAAUAAUAGGAAGCAUCACAGUGUUAGUGACUUCUAUUUUCAUAUGAUCAAGCUUGAAAUUGAUGAUACUUCGGCAAUUUCUGGAUUUCUUGUCUGUCUUAAAAUGCUCACAGGGUUAUUUUUAACACUCUUUUUGGGCUUAGUGUGAAUUUCUGGAUGGCCAUAGCUACAAGGUUUCUCCUUGGGGCUUUGAAUGGUUUACUUGGACCAAUAAAGGUAUUGAUUGGGGGUAUUUGUUGAUAAUUCCAAUUUAAUUCCUGCAAAUAUUUGUGCUCAAACUUCUCUUACACCACGAGGCAUAUGCAUGUGAAAUAUUGCGCGAUCAGCACCAAACUUAUUACGAAACCAAAAAUGUUACUUGUUUUCUGUACUUGCUUUCGCAUGCAUCACCCCCACAAAACUGCUUGACGAUUGUCCUCAUUUUGAACUUACUAUAGGUUUCAUUCUCCUUGUUUUUCAACUUACUCUGUACCCUUACGUCGAGAGGAUUAUUGGGCCAAUAAUCAUAACACGAAUUGCAGGGGGUAAUAUUUUGAACACCUCAUGCGGCAUUUGGACCAUUUGAUAGUUUGUUUCAAACAUAUCUGUUUAUAAAAUACUUUUCUUCAUGGUUUUGGUCCCAUAACUUUCUAUGUAUGUACAGGUUUUAUCGAUACCGCUUUUGACAAGUUACACUUACAUAGCAAUGCUAUCUGGGUUCAGCCUUGCCUUUUUGAUAAACUGUGCUUCUGUGAUGAAGAAUGUUUUAUCUGUAAGUGGAUAUCCUAAUCAUUGAUCCAUAUACUAAGGUUAUAUUAUCCAUCAGCAAGUAUGUAUAAAAUUAUUUUGUCUUUUUUAUUAGAAUUUUUGUAAUUCUUUUUUACUUUUCCUGAAUUGUAGCAUCAGGUGUCUAUAAUAACUGGAUCGUUCCUUCUGCAAAUCAGAGCAGUGGUAAAUAUAUUUUCUUUUGUUUGUUUAGUACAUUUCCAUGCUUUCAGCUUUUUCAAAUUUUGUAUGUGCCAAAGUUUAAAUUAAUUGGUUGGUUUAUGGUAUAAUAACAGGUAUGAUAAUUUACUAAUGAAAUUUCUCACUAGUUUGUGAAUUACUUGGUGCUAAUUAGCUUAAUCAGCUGCUUAAACUAAAGUGCAGGUAACCAGAUGAUUUUUUUCAUUCUGAAUUCGGUGGAGGCACUUGGAGUAAUAUUGACAUUCAAACCGUUUCUAACUCAACGUGCCCCGUGAGUGGAGAAAAGAUGCAUCUGUUGAAAUAUUCAAAUAUAUAUCAAGCAAAUUAAAGCUUUCAAAAUCUUUCAACAAUUUGAUUGUUUGAUGUGGUUGCCACUUGCCAUAUUUUGUGUUACUUUUCUAAAGGCUUAAAUAUGAAAAUGGUUGUUGGUGCUCACGCCAAUUGAUUGCUGGUAACAUUAAUUGUGCAGUACUUGUCAGAACUACCACAAUUUAUCUUCACAAUGAUGCUAGCUAGAAAGAAAAUUUCAUGUUAAGUAAAAUAUUGAAGCCAUAAAGAGUCUUAUUCCAGAGCCUCAUUAAGUACUAAGUUUUCUGCCAUGCUUUCAAAGUUUACAAAUUCGAAGCUUGGGGAUUCUGUAACAAUGGAGGAUAAAAAUUAUAUAAGAAUAUUUUUUGUACAAUUUUCAUACGACCAGACAGAAGCGAGCAUAAUUUUUUGAUCAUAACUCAGAUCAAAAGACCUUCAAUGAUGUAUAAUAUGCACAUAAAGCUAGCUCAGAACCAGACAUUAAAACUUAUGAUGAAAGGGAAACAUAGAUGUUGAGAUUGAAAACAUAGAGAAAUUUUUUUAAAAAAUCUGAAAUUUUAUUAAUAGAAGUUUGAAUAACAAAAUUAGGGUAUUGGACCCUUUUUAUACAAAUUCUAAAUAUUAUGUAUUUAUCAAAAUAGGCAAACUUGAAAUAUUAUUACAUAAUAACGUUCUCCUAACUGAAAUAAAAAAAAUAAAACAAAUCAUACUUAAAAUCUUAUAUUUAGAGAAAAAAUAUAAAAAUAUUGAAAAUAAUAAGAAAAAUAAGAAAAUAACUUAAACUUUGUAAAAUAACUACGAAAUAAACAGAAUUUCUUGCCGAAUAGAUACCCGCUCAAGUUAUGAUCUAGGAGUGAUAUCCUACUCAUCCUAUGCAACCAUCAGCUGCAUCAACUUCAUUCCAAAAUUAACAAAUAAACCAACUGACGCAUUGCAAAUAAUAAGAUGAAACGAUAAAAUAAACCUAGAGAUCAAACAACACAAGGUAAUAUAUUAAAAAGCCUAUGGGAUCAAAACACAUCGUACUAUGUCGAGAGAGAUGACGACUCCUCCAACAGCAGAAAAUAAAUUCUUUCAUUCAUUAAUUUAAAGUAAAUUUGGUGCUCCAUCUUCUUCUCCGUCACCUAUUACCACCUCUGUCAUUGCCCUGCAUCCAGCUACCUUCAUUGAUACGAGCCGCACUAGACUUUCUGCUGUAGUGGACGGAUGUUACAAUUCCUUGCAAUGGAAAAUCAACAGUUCUGUUAGAUUCCCAAAAGAUAUAGAUGAUCAUGGGAAUAGACUUAAAUGCUUGUAAAAUAGUCGUAGAAUGUCAAGAUAUUUAAAAUGGAGUCCAGUUUGGAGUUGCUUCAAUGAUUAAGUCUGGACAGGAUUAACCAUUUUAUCAGUGCCUACUUCCCCACUUGUUUUUAGCAGUAUCCGGCUUGAUUUAAGAAUCUCUUUGUAUGAACUAUAUUACCCAAAAAAAAAAAAAAUCUUAUUUCAAAUGAUGCACAGGAGAAGAGUUACUUGAAUCUUCAUCAGUAUCCAGACAUUCUACAAUCACAGAGUAAAGAGUUCUAGCAGGAAAAACUGAGAAAACAACGUACUUCUAUAGUUUUUCACAAUAUUUCCAACGUUUUCAAACAAUAUUUCCACAAUAUAGUUUUUCAUAGCGAAGAGUUUUGCUUUGGUGGUCUAAGGAUUUGUUCUAGGCAUAAUGCUCUGAUUAGAUUUUGUUUAUUUUUAAUUUUUUAUCCGAUGAAUGAUUUUCAGCUGGUCUUAAUUAUGUGUUCAUAGGGAAGAGCAUUUGGAAAGAUCAUCAAAAAAAAAAAAAAAAAAAGUUUCCAAAGAAAGAUAGGUGUGAAGCAAACCAAACUAAAUGAACAAACUAAAAUAACAGAACAGCAAUGAUGUUUUCAAGGAAUUAUAAAAUAUGAAGGCUUUUAAUGAAAUUUUAUCAUACAAAGUAUGCAAGGAAUUAUAAAAUUUUAGAAAACAAGGGGAACUCUCAAAAAAAGAAAAAAAGAAAAAAAUACUCAAAUUAAACUAGACUAGAAGACAUUCAAUGAUGCAAAAUCUGUCCACAAAAGUCUGAACGAAUCAUUAAAAUUGCAUUCCAAAUUUAACAGUAAGCCGAUUGACCCAUUCUAAAUAAUUCAUAUGAAAUUGCGAAACAAGCCAUGAGAUCAAAUAAAUGAAAUAAAAAAUAAUUACCAGCUGAGGCUUUCUUCUAAAAUUCACAACUCCCAAGUCAUAAGAAGCCUAUGAAAUUAGUACUGGGUAGAGAUCGCCGACUGCACCGCCAACAGCUGAAAAUAAAAUUCUUAUUCAUCAAUUUAAACUUUUACUUUAUAACAAAUAUCUUAUCUAUAUUUUAUUAAAAAAAAAAAUUGUAAAAUGUUUCCAUGGGAGAUAGAGAGUACUAUGUAUAUCCGUACCUUUUCAGCAUGUAAUUGUUGUAUGGUUGUGUUUAGAUCAUUAUUGGUCCAAAGCAAUCGAUCCUCUGUCUCUCCAUAGCAGACGUUUACUCUUGGAGGCGUGAUUGAUUCUCCUGUAGUGAAAAUCUUCAUCUUGGGACAACCAAUCACCCACAAAUCUUGCAAAGAUGGGAAUUUGAAGGUGUAGUUGGCAGAGCUGAAACUUGUGAAGCUAUCUAAAUCAAACAGUUCCAACGUCUUCAAUUUGCUAAAAACAAUCUCUUCUUUUUCAACUCCAUCUUUGUCAUUUAUUACCACCUCUGUCAUUGCUCUGCAUCCACAUACUUGCACUUUGACGAGUUGCACUAGAGUUUUUGCUGUGGAGGAUGUUACCAAGUGUAUCAAUCCCUUGCAACCGAAAGCCACCAGAGCUGUUAGGUUCUGAAAAGAUACCGAUGAUGAUGGCAAUAGAAUUAACAGACUUUGACAAUGAUGUACUUUUAGAAUUUCAAGAUACUGAAAAAUGGGGCCAAGUUUGGAGUCUUGUUUGCACAGCUGCUUCAGAUGAUAGUGCCGGUUCAGCUGUAAUUUUUUUAUCAUUGCCAACUUCCCCACAUGUUUCUCUAAGCUUCCUUCCUCCGAAAAUACCUCUUCGUUGAAUGAAAAAAAACACAGUAUGAGCAUUUCCAGAUUGUGAAAUCUCUCCAGUACGUUCCAGACUGGAAAACAAGCUGAGUCAUCUCCAGCAAUCUCUAGUUGUUUAAGACUGCCAAAAAGGUGUUGUGGGAAAUCGGCCUGCAAAAUCAUCUUCACAUCUUUUCCACUUAGUGAUAGUUCCUUCAAGUUGGGUACGAUCUGAUCAUCAUCAAUCAUAAUAACUAAUGAGGUCAAUUGAUGAUCUACGGUCACACGCAGUGACUUUAUAGUAUUUGUUUUAUAUUAUAUUUUUUUAAAAAAAUUGAAUUAUUGAUAAAAUUUAUUUUAUAUGUUAAUUUUAGAGGUAAAAAAGAAAUUAGGGAAAAAAGGUUGAUUUAUACUGGCUCGAAAUUAUUUUAUUGCACAAUAAUAAAUUACUAAUUUAUUUUGUAAGUUCUUCUAUAUGGAAAGACUAAGGAUUCUUUUAUAAAUGCUAUACCUAAAACAGUUCAUAUAAUUAUUAAUCUACCACAUUGAUCUCUUAGGUAAUGUUUAUAUAAUUAUGGCAAGGCAUGAUUAAAUUGAUCAUUUGUUUGGUAACAACUUUAUUAAUCGGGUUCUGGCAGAUUUUCUUGGUCACAAAAGCGUCAAGAUGCUGGUUUCCUCCCAGGUAUGAUGAUAUACUAAUGAAAAUUCCCACUAGUUUGUGAGUUGCUUUGUGCUAAUUAGCUUAAUUAGCUGCUUAAAUUAAAGUGCAGAUAACCAGGUGAUUUUUUUCAUUCUGAAUUUGGUGGAGGCACUUGGAGUAAUAUUGACAUUCAAACCGUUUCUAACUCAACGUGCCCCGUGAGUAGAAAAGAUGCUCUGUUGAAAUAUUCAAAUAUCUAUCAAGCAAAUUAAAGCUUUCUAAAUCUAUCAACAAUUUGAUUAUUUGAUGUGGUUGCCACUUGCCAUAUUUUGUGCUACUGUUCUAAAGGCUUAAAUAUGAACAUGGUUUUUGGUGCCCACGCCAAUUGAUUGCUGGUAACAUUAAUUUAUCUUCACAAUGAUGCUAUCUACAAAGAAAUUUUCAUAUCAAGUAAAAUAUUGAAGCCACAAAGAGUCUUAUUCCGGAGCCUUAUUAAGUACUAUGUUUUCUGCCAUGCUUUCAAAGUUUACACAUUCGAAGCUUGGGGAUUCUGUAAUAAUAGAGGACAAAAAUUUUAUAAGAAUAUUAUUUUGUACAAUUUUCAUACAACUGACAAAAGCAAGCAUAAUUUUUUUAUCUUAACUCAGACCAAAAGACCUUCAAUGAUGUAAAAUAUGCACAUAAAGCUAGCUCAGAACCAGACAAUAGAACUUAUGAUGAAACGGAAACAUAAACGUUGAGAUUAAAAACAUCGAGAAACACCCUUUCAAAAAAAAAAAAAAAAAAUCGAGAAACACAGCUUUUGAAAAGUCUGAAAUUUUAUUAAUAGAAGUCUGAAUAACAAAAUUAAGGUUUUGAACCCUUUUUAUACUAAUCCUAAAUAUUACGAAUUUAUUAAAAUAAGCAAACCUGAAAUAUUAUUACAUAAUAAGGUUCUCCUAACUGGAAUAAGAAAAAUAAAAUAAAUCGUAUUUAAAAUCUUAUAUCUAAAAAUAAAAUAUAUAAAAAUCUUGAAAAUAAUAUGGAAAAAUAAGAAAAUAUCUUAAACUUGUAAAAUAACUAUGAAAUAAACAAAAUUUCUGGUUGGACCAUGAGGCCAAUAGGGUGUCAUAGUAUUAGAUUAAUGGUAUAUUAUACGCCCUAGAUAGAUACUAUAGCUCAAUUUAUGAUCUCGGAGUGAUAUCCUACUCAUCCUAUGCAACCAUCGUCUGCAUCAACUUCAUUCCAAAAUAAACAAUAAACGAAUUGACGCAUUGCAAAUAAUUUAGAUGAAACGAUAAAAUAAACCUAGAGAUCAAAUAAAAUGAAAUGAAAAUGAUAGUUACCUCGGACUUUCUUCUUCAAAUUUCGCAGCACUAUGUAAUAAAUUAAAAAGCCUAUGGCAUCAGAACAUAUCGUACUGCGUCAAGAGAGACGACGACUCCUCCAACAGCUGAAAAUAAAUUCUCUCAUUCGUUAAUUUAAAGUAAAAUUUGUAAAUUUAGGUACUUGCUGAAGAAACGUGUUUUCAUUUCUUAAAUAAAGCAUUAUACAUUGAGAGUUAUUUAUAGAUGCAGAGGCUACAUUUUUUCAAAGAUUACAUAUGUGAAUACGGAAGGAAAUGUGUCAAUCCGUUCGGCGCGAAUCAUCCGUUCGGCGCGAAUCUUGUCUUUGACAAGUGCAGAUUACCCCUUUGACAAGUGCAGAUUCUGUCUUUGAAAGCUUCAUUCAAUGUCGUUUUAUUUGAUUUUCAACACUCCCCCUCAAGCUGGUGCAUAGAUGUCUUUCAUACCCAACUUGUCUAGGAAUUUUGUAAAUGCCCUGCUUGAAAUGGCCUUCGUUAAAAUAUCUGCAAGUUGAUCUUCUGAUCGAAUUUUCGGCAGUUCUAAGAUUUUUUCAUCUAAUUUCUCCUUGAUGAAAAAUCUAUCUACCUCCACAUGUUUUGUUCGAUCGUGUUGAACUGGGUUAUGAGCAAUAUCUCGUGCAGCUUUGUUGUCACAGUAUAGUUGUAUUGGUUGUUGUGAUGGAUAGCCCAUAUCGUUUAAGAUAAAACUUAUCCAUAGCCCUUCACAUAUCCCAAGGGCCAUGCCUCGAUAUUCUGCUUCAGCGCUCGAACGGGCAACGACAUGUUGUUUCUUGCUUCUCCAUGUGAUAAGGUUUCCUCCCACAAAGGUAAAGUAUCCUGAAGUAGAGCGUCUAUCACUAACUGACACGGCCCAAUCUGCAUCAGUAUAAACUUCUAUGUUGCUGUAAUCUUCAUUUUUGGAAAGUAAGAUUCCUUUUCCUGGAUUUGUCUUCAGGUACCUCAGGAUCCGCAUUACUGCUUUCAUGUGUUGUUCUCCGGGAUUAUGCAUAAACUGGCUUACAACACUCAAUGCAUAAGCAAGAUCUGGCCUUGUGUGGGACAAGUACAUCAAUCUUCCAAUCAGCCUUUGAUAUCUUCCUUUGUCUACUGGAACUUGGUCUGAAGUAAUACAAAACUUCAGUCCUUCUUCUAUUGGGGUGUCAAUAGGCUGACAAGCUGUCAUUCCCGUUUCGUGCAAUAGAUCUAAGGCAUAUUUCCUUUGAGACAGAAAGAUUCCUCCCUUAGAUCGAGAAACCUCAAUUCCAAGAAAGUAUUUUAAGGCACCUAAAUCCUUCAUCUCAAACUCUCUUGACAAGUACUUAUGAAGAGCCUCUGUUUCUUCCUCGUCGUUGCCUGUAACUACCAUAUCAUCCACAUAGACAAUAAGGGCAGUGAUUUUACCUUGUCGUUUUUUAAUGAAUAAGGUAUGAUCUGAAUUGCUUUGGUUAUAUCCAAAACGAACCAUAGCCUUUGUGAAUUUCCCGAACCAUGCUCUUGGGGAUUGCUUCAACCCAUACAAUGAUUUCUUCAAUUUGCAUACUUUCUGAUUGAGUCGUUCUGGUCCACUGCAUCCUGGUGGCAGAUCCAUAUAAAUUUCUUCAGACAGGUCUCCAUGGAGGAAAGCAUUCUUUACAUCGAACUGUUGCACUGGCCAAUCCAAGUUGACUGCUAAUGAUAAUAAGAUACGAAUAGUAUUAAUUUUUGCUACCGGUGCAAACGUAUCAGUAUAAUCAAUCUCGUAGGUUUGGGUGUAACCCUUAGCUACGAGUCUUGCUUUGUAUCGUUCAAUAGAGCCAUCUGCUUUGUAUUUUAUAGUGUAGAUCCAUCGACAACCCACUAGUUUCUUUCCUGGUGGAAGAUCAACUAGUUCCCAUGUUUGAUUUUUCUGAAGAGAUCUCAUUUCAUCAUUCAUAGCCGCUUUCCACUUUGGAUCUUUUAAAGCUUCCUGCACACUGUUAGGAAUAGAUACAGCAGAUAAUUGAUUCACAAAUGACUGAUUUGAUUCUGACAAGCAAUGGUUAGACACAAAAUGACUUAUAGGGUAUUUGACUAUACUAGAGAAGUCAGGCUCAUAUGUGGGUUUAGGGAUACCUCUAUUUUGACGCUGGGGAAGAAUUCUUCUGAUUGGACUUGUGGUAGGAACAUCCUCUGCAGACGAUUGGUUAGGUAUUUCUUCAUGUGACUCAUUCUCGAUUGCAGUUGUGUCUGAGUUAUUGUGCUCCCCAAAUGUGUCUUCACAUAUCUUAGCCUGCGAAUUAUCACCAUUUGCUUUUCCAGUAUCUUGAAGGUUUACUAUCUCAAUGGAAGAUUGACUUUCUUCAGGUGGAAGAUAUGUAAGAGUAUGAAUUUCCUCUUCAUUAUACUCCCCCUGAAAUUCAGACUCUGACAAGUAGUACAUGAUAUCUUCAUGAAAAACGACAUCCAUGGUGAUGUAUAUUUUUCUUGAUGGUGGAUGAUAGCAUCGGUAUCCCUUUUGAUGUAAGGCAUACCCUACAAACACACAACGUAGUGCUCGAGGAGAUAAUUUUUCUUGUUGCGGCAAAUGAACGAAGGCAACACAGCCAAACACAUGUGGGGGCAGAUUCGGCACAUUUGGUGACAUAAUUGCAUCAUUCAGAACUUGGAAAGAAGUCUGGAAUCCAAGGGAGCUUGAAGGUGUUCGAUUGAUCAAGUAUGUUGCGGAUGCCAGUGCUUCUCCCCAAUAAGAUAAUGGCAUGUGGGCUUGGAUUAGUGAUGCUCGAACAACUUCUAGUAAAUGUCUGUUUUUUCGUUCAGCAACGCCAUUUUGUUGGGGUGUCCCCACACAAGUGGUUUGAUGGACAGAUCCUUGUGAUUUCAAAAACUGUUGAAUUGCUGUGCUCAUAUACUCGCCUCCAUUAUCAGUAUGUAGAACUCGAAUUUGUGUCUGAAAUUGAGUUGUCACCAUCUUAUGAAAUCUUUGAAAUAAAGAGUUUACUUCGUCUUUCGAUUUCAUCAGAAAAAUCCAUGUCAUUCUGCUACAAUCAUCAAUAAAUGUAACAAACCAACGAGCACCUCCAAUUGUAGAAACUUUAGAUGGCCCCCAUACAUCAGAAUGUACUACCAUAAAAGGAACUGGAUUUUUAUUUAAGGACAAUGGAAAAGUAGUUCGAUGGCUUUUUGAAAGUUCACAAACAUCACAUUUAAAGUUACAAACAUCAAAUUUCAGAAACAAACUAGGAAAUAAUUUUUUUAAGUAACCAAAUGACACAUGCCCUAAACGUCUAUGCCAUAACCAAAUUUCUGAUUUCCCUUUUUUUAUGGAACUAUCUGCGACUAGUGCAGGGCUUAGCUUUCCAGUGUUUGUUGAUGACAUCUCCAAGUAGUACAAGUUGCCUCGUCUAAUACCAUAACCAAUCGUUUGCUUCGUUUGGAUGUCCUUAAACACACAAUGAUCAGGCCAAAAAAUUACAACACAUGAUAAGUAAGUGGUUAAUUGAGACACAGAUAAAAGAUUAUAAUCUAAAGAUGGAACAAUUAACACAGCGUCUAAAUUUAAUUCAUUUGUGAGUCGUAAAGAUCCUUCCCCAAUAACUGAGGUUGUGGUUCCAUUUGCAGUGGAAAUAUGUUUUUGUGAAGAUGGUUUCAAUUGAGAAACUUGUCGAGAAUCAAAAGUCAUAUGAUCAGUUGCCCCAGAAUCAGUUAUCCAUGUACUAUUAAUAACAGGUGUAAGAGUUUUAAGGGCCUUACCUGGACUGACAGAGGUUGCGAUUUGCACUGAAGAUUCUUUUUUAAGAUCUGUAGUGGAUGUGGAUUCAGCUACUGCAGUUUUUGAUCCAUGCUUGGUGUUCUUCUUUCGAGUAUCCCACCAGUCAGGAUAUCCAAUGAUUUCAAAACAUUGUUCUUUCGUAUGACCCUUCUUUCUACAAUGAGUGCAAUGGAGUGAUGACUUGUCAACAAACUUCCUUUGAGGUUGCUGUCGUGCUAUCAUAGCAGACGUUUCUGAGUCGACCUUCUUGUUUAGUUUGCUUUGCCAUAUAUCUUCUCUUCGGAUCAGAGAAUAACAUUCUUCUAAGUCUGGAAUAAUGUCUUUUCGUAGAAUUUCUCCACGAACUUGGUCAAAUUCUUCAUCUAGCCCAGCAAGAAAAAUGUGCACUCUCAAUCUUUCAACAGACCUUCUGUAUAUUACAACAUCUUCUGGAUCCUUCAUGACCACUUUAUCUCGGUGAUCAAGUUCUCGAAAUAUUUCGACCAAUUCUCCAUAGAAUUUAGAGAGUGGUUGUCCAUUUUGCUUGGUAGAGAAUGCCUUUUGGUUUAGAGUGAAAACUUGUAAUUCAUCGCUUCCAUCAUAGAAGGCUUUUGAUAAUGCAUCACAGAUUUCGUAGGCUGUAGAAAUUCGUAAAUAUUGCUUCAUGAUCUCCGGAGACAUGGAUAUGAGUAACAAUCUUUUUACUUUUUGGUUCUCACUAUACCAUUUCUCAUAUUCCUUUUAAGAUUCCUCAAAUGGCUUUGUGCUGCUACGAAUAUAUGAGAGUUUUUCUCUUUCUGCAAGAUGCAUUUCCAUUAUUUGAGACCAAACAUCGUAGUUUGUCUCAGUGAGGAUAAUUCCAGCAUUAAAUACUCCAUCAGAUUGAACAGAUUGAAUGACAACAGGACUAGAUUCAGUUGGAGUUUUCUCCAUUUUUUUUGUUUUUGUUUUUUUUUUCUUUUUCUUUUUUCUCUUUUUUUUCUUUUUUUUUGUUUUCUUUUUUUUUUUGUUUUUUUUCCCGUCUAGAUUGAAAGAAGAAAAAAAAAAUAACCUUUUUAGGUAACAAAACGACAGGUCGUUUAGCCACUGCUUACCAAACCGACAUGUCGGUUAUGGUGGAAUAUAAACGACAUGUCGUUUUACUCCUGCUGCACUUCUGGAAACUAAGCGUCACGUCGUUUUAUCUCUAAUUUAGAAAAGACAUAUCGGUUUUAAUAUAACACAAAACGACACGUCGGUUUUUGACUGCUGCACUUCUGAGAUAAAAAUGACAUGUCGGCUGACGUCUUCUUCAACCUCUGGAGCGCGUGAGGGCGCGUGAAUGAUGACAGAGGUGCGUGGUUGACUGGCCGUGGCUUCGGUUGGCGCGUGGGAGCGCGUGGGAAUGUGUUUAAAUGCGAAAGUUUUACAGUUUCCUCACUAAAAACUGAGAAAUUUUAUGGUGUUCUUGGUUUUGGACGAACACACUCUCGGAAAAUUGAUGGGAUUGUUGAUAAAUUUGUAAACUCAAGUUUUUUACGUAUUGGUGGCUUGUUUCUUGAUCGGCAUGGAUAUCUGUAAUGGUAGGAAUGGGUUUAAGAAAGAAAAUGGUGGGAAAAAUGGUUGUGGGAGGAAUUUGGUUUCCUCUGUUUUUGUUACAAACAGAGCAACGGAACUUGAAGAAACUUGAGCGUAUUCAUGGCUCUGAUACCAUGAAGAAACGUGUUUUCAUUUCUUAAAUAAAGCAUUAUACAUUGAGAGUUAUUUAUAGAUGCAGAGGCUACAUUUUUUCAAAGAUUACAUAUGUGAAUACGGAAGGAAAUGUGUCAAUCCGUUCGGCGCGAAUCUUGUCUUUGACAAGUGCAGAUUAACCCUUUGACAAGUGCAGAUUCUGUCUUUAAAAGCUUCAUUCAAUGUUGUUUUAUUUGAUUCUCAACACUUGCACAUAGAGAUUUGCAAGGGGAGCGAGAGAUUCAAUAGCAGCAAUUUAAUUUGACGGGACUUUCAUUGAAUAAUGAAAUUAAAAACUAACGAUUAUUGAAUUUUUUAUAUUCUCUUAACUCUUGUGGAAAUGUCAGCUCUAAAUAGGACAGCUUCAAGAAUCUUUAUCUGAAAGUGUAAUUGGCAGAGCAGAAACUUGUGACACUAUCUAAAUCACAAAGACUCAACGUCUUCAAUUUGCUGAAAACAAUCUCUCGUUUUGAAUUUACAUUUGGAGCUCCAUCUUCUUCUUCGUCACCUAUUACCAUAUCUGUCAUUGCCCUGCAUCCAGCCACCUUCACUGAUACGAGCCGCACUAGACUUUUAGCUGCAGUGGAUUUUACAAUUCUUUGCAAUGGAAAACCACCAGUUCUGUUAGAUUCCCACAAGAUAUAGAUGAUCAUGGCAAUAGACUUAAAAGAUUUUUACAUGCAGUAAUAUACUCUUAAGUGGUGUUUGGUUGGGAGGAGAGAAUAGAAGAAAGGAAAGUAAUUUAAAUGCUCUUUUUAUUUCCAUUAUUUGGUUUGACAAAAUAGAUAAGAAUUUAAUUUCCAUUAGAAUUUGAAUUCCACACCAAGUAGUGAAAAAUUUAAAUUCCUCUUAUGUUAAAAACUAAAGUUUCCAAAAUUAUCCUUCAAAUUUUUAACUUGUUUAAUGUCAUUAAUAAUUAUUAUUUAUAAUUUUAUUUUAUUGAUUUAAUAUUAUAAAUAGACCUCCACCGGUAAGUCGCCGGACCACUGUCGGACUUCACCGGACCACCGCUGAACUUUCGCCAGACCAUUGCCGAACUUCCACCGGAAAGUCGCCGGACUUCCACCGGAAUAUAGUUUUUCAUAGCGAAGAGCUUUACUUUGAUGGCUUAAGGAUUUGUUCUAGGCAUACUGCUGUGAUUAGAUUUCGUUUAUUUUUAACUUUUUUUAAUCUUUUAUCCGAUGAAUGAUUUUCAGCUGUUCUUAAUUAUUUGUUCAUAGGGAAGAGCAUUUUCUAAGUACUUCCUUGCCUUCUAAGUUUCCGAAGAAAGAUAGGUGUGAAGCAAAGCAAACCAAACCAAAUGAACAAACAGAGCACAAACUAAAAUAACAGAACAGCAAUGAUGACAAUAAAUAAUUGGCAAAAAAAGAAAAGAAAAAAGCAUGCACAUUUUCAAGGAAAUAUAAAAUAUAAAGCUUUUAAUGAAAUUUUAUCAUAAAAAGUAUGCAAGUAUUUAACAAGAUGUUUGGAACGAUAGAAAAUGAAAGAAAAUUGAUUAAGAAGAUUCUGGAACAAUCAUAAUUCUUAUUGAUGAAACUGAUCAAAAUCGUACAUUGUGAACGAGCUCAGCACUAUUUAUAGUUACACACAUGCUGAUUAGAAAGUGUAGAGCUCAAAACUGCAAUAUUAACAAACUAAUUAACCUUCCAAUCAUAUUAAGCCAGCUGGACAGUUAGUUACAACCAAUCAGUACAAAUAACAACCUAAUCCAGCUUGGCAACUUUGUUACACAUCAUCAGCCAGCUCAGCUUAGCAAACUUACACUCUUAACAGCAAGGAAUUAUAAAAUUUUAGAAAACAAGGGGAACCCUAAAAAAAAAACUCAAAUUAAACUAGGCUAAAAGACAUUCAAUGAUGCAAAAUCUGUCCAUAAAAUUCUGAACGAAUCAUUAAAAUAGCAUUCCAAAUUUAACAGUAAACCGAGUGACCCAUUCUAAAUAAUUCAGAUGAAAUUGUGAAACAAGCCAUGAGAUCAAAUAAAUGAAAUAAAAAUUCGCAACUCCAAGUCAUAAGAAGCCUAUGAAAUUAGUCGUAAUGCGUAGACAACGACGACGGCACCGCCAACAGCUGAAAAUAAGAUUCUUAUUCAUCAAUUUAAACUUUUACUUUAUAACAAACAUCUUAUCUAUAUUUUAUUUAAAAAAAGCAAAUUUUGUAAAAUUUUUCCAUGGGAGAUAGAGAGUAAUAUGUAUAUACGUACCUUCUCAGCAUGUAAUUGUUGUAUGGUUGUGUUCAGAUCAUUAUUAGCCCAGCGCCGUUGAUCCGCUGUCUCUCCAUAGCAGACGUUUACUCUUGGAGGCGUGAUUGAUUCUCCUGUAGUGAAAAUCUUCAUCUUGGGACAACCAAUCACCCACAAAUCUUGCAAAGAUGGGAAUUUGAAGGUGUAGUUGGCAGAGCUGAAACUUGUGAAGCUAUCUAAAUCAAACAGUUCCAACGUCUUCAAUUUGCUAAAAACAAUCUCUUCUUUUUCAACUCCAUCUUUGUCAUUUAUUACCACCUCUGUCAUUGCUCUGCAUCCACAUACUUGCACUUUGACGAGUUGCACUAGAGUUUUUGCUGUGGAGGAUGUUACCAAGUGUAUCAAUCCCUUGCAACCGAAAGCCACCAGAGCUGUUAGGUUCUGAAAAGAUACCGAUGAUGAUGGCAAUAGAAUUAACAGACUUUGACAAUGAUGUACUUUUAGAAUUUCAAGAUACUGAAAAAUGGGGCCAAGUUUGGAGUCUUGUUUGCACAGGUGCUUCAGAUGAUAGUGCCGUUUUAGCUCUAAUGUUUUUAUCAUUGCCAACUUCCCCACAUGUUUCUCUAAGCUUCCUUCCUCCGAAAAUACCUCUUCGUUGAAUGAAAAAAAACACAGUAUGAGCAUUUCCAGAUUGUGAAAUCUCUCCAGUACGUUCCAGACUGGAAAACAAGCUGAGUCAUCUCCAGCAAUCUCUAGUUGUUUAAGACUGCCAAAAAGGUGUUGUGGGAAAUCGGCCUGCAAAAUCAUCUUCACAUCUUUUCCACUUAGUGAUAGUUCCUUCAAGUUGGGUACGAUCUGAUCAUCAUCAAUCAUAAUAACUAAUGAGGUCAAUUGAUGAUCUACGGUCACAUGCAGUGACUUUAUAGUAUUUGUUUUAUAUUAUAUUUUAAAAAAAAUUGAAUUAUUGAUAAAAUUUAUUUUAUAUGUUAAUUUUAGAGGUAAAAAAGAAAUUAGGGAAAAAAGGUUGAUUUAUACUGACUCGAAAUUAUUUUAUUGCACAAUAAUAAAUUACUAAUUUAUUUAGUAAGUUCUUCUAUAUGGAAAGAUUAAGGAUUCUUUUAUAAAUGCUAUACCUAAAACAGUUCAUAUAAUUAUUAAUCUACCACAUUGAUCCCUUAGUCUAGACUAGCAAAGAUUAUUGUAUAAUAAAAAUUUUUAAUUUAUUGAGUAUUAAUUUAUCGAUGCUUUGUCAUAUUUUUCAAAGUUAAAAAUAAGCUAUUGAUAAAAAAUCUAGAAAAUGACUUCAUACCUUUUCCAACGGCAAUAGGAGCUGUUGUGCAGGAAUACCAAGUUGAUCAUUCUCAUUAUUCUGCGAUAAAUCAGCGAAUAUCUUUAAUUUGUCACAACGAUACACUAAAAGACUUUCUAGCGCGGGCCAUUCCAAAGUAUGCAUUCCAGGGUACAAACAUCUAAGUUUUGGUAGAUGUUGGAGUCUCAGAGUGGUGAGCUGUGGAAAGACAAAAUAAGGGAUCACUUGAUCUGCUCUGUUUUCAGAAAUGAUCUCCUGUAAAUCCUCACAGAAGCGUAUAUCUAGGUGUUGGAGCUGCUUAAGGCUUCCGAUCAUAGACGCUGAAAAUAGGUAUUUUAAUUUGUGACAAUGCCGCACAGUCAAUCGUGUUAAAUUUUGAAAGCGAGGAAACAUGACCGGAAGAUGAUUGUAGUGCCAAAUCUUGUCGACAUUAAUUUCAGAUAUCUCCAAAGCCUCCAAGUUAGGCAACGCAACCUAAAAAAAAGAAGAAUUUCUCGUUACAUCCAAUAUGCAUAUGAGAAGCACUUGUUGAAAUUUUCGUCUUCGAUUACAAAUUAAUGCAAGUCAAAACCAAUUUCUAACUGACAGAUAAGUAUGCAUUCUAAUUCAUACUACUUGUUAAGAGCUCAAUUAGUGAGCGCGUGAGAUUCUUUUUAUCCUUUUUUUUCCAUUUUCUUUCAAUUCUUUAAAUGAUUUAAUUAUUUUCCACGUAUGACAACAAAACAGAACGCAUGAUAGAAUAAAGUCUGUUAUAUAUAUAUAUAUAUAUAAAGAAAAUGUUAGCCUACGCACCUUCUCGUUGAAAAGCAGAGUUGAAGUAUCCAAAGUGAUUUCGCUGGAGCUAUACGUAGUCGUCGAUUCCUCUUGCGACGCUGGUCUGUUUGGUGAUGCUGAAGGAGUCUUUACUUCACGGCAAAAACUUGUAACCUCUGGAAGAUUCCCCAGACUCAAAGAUCUUAAUUGAGCAAACUCUAUCUUCUCAAUUGCAUUAUCAACUUCUUCCCCAAUUGCAAAAAUCUCUUUCAUCUUGCUGCAAUUAAUAACUGCAAUUCUCUCAAGUCUUGGAAGGCAUUUUGUUGUAGAGAGCCAAAAGAUAUUACUCAAUUUUUCACAAUUAUAUGUUUGUAUGAUUUUGAGUUCGUUGAAGGACUCUACUUUGAGCCGAUCAAUACAUAUCCUCUCCAUGUUGAUCAAAUUGUGAAGGCCAAGUGACUCCAAAAGAGGAAAGGCAUCACAAGCGACCAUCGCCCUUGAAUCGACGAUGCAAAAGAAGUCAGGAUUAUUUUGAACCCAGACAAGCUUCAAUUGUGAAAAGCCCUCCGUGUCCAAAUUGAAAAGAACGUUCUUGAUCCCUCGCAGCUUGUCCAACAAUAAGUAUUCAACGUUAUUGACGCCCUGCAAUUUCAUGGAGCAAAUGUCCGUAAAAGCAAGCUUGAGCUUCAAUGCUCUUAAACUCUUGCGAUCACUGUCGAUCAAAAAGUGCUGCCAACUUUCAAACCAAUUUUGUCCAGCAAUCAUGGGAUGUGUGAAUAACACAUUUCCAAUAUUUAUUUUGAACCUUUCGAGCUUUCUGGCCAAAAAGCCUUCUGGUAACAUACUCUCAUUUUUAACAUCAAUUUCUAGAGUGGUUAGCCGAGGUAAAUGCAUCAAUUCAUCAAGGCUAGCAUUACUUCUUUUGCUGUUGGCUCUUUCAACCUCCCAUUCAAUGGAGCAAUUACCCAUAUACAAUUCUUCUAAUCGGAUUAAGCUUGAUAUGACAUUUGGGGCAAUAACUUUCAGACGGAAACAGUCUGUUAAAUCUAACAGCCUUAGCUUAGUCAGUUGACCCAGUGCUUUAGGCAACUCUACAAUAUCAGACCGCACGAAGCUGAGGAUUUCUAGGUUUUCCAACUUUCCAAUAAUGGCUACGUCUAUGCCUCUGAAAAUGCUUUGAUCAAGACAAAGUGUCUGAAGAUUUACUAGAAGACCAAUUGAAGAUGGCAAUGACAAUAACCGCAUUCUAGUCAAAUCCAAAACCCGAAGCUUUUUCGUCCUUUUGAAGAAGUUCUCAGGAAUAUUAGGCACAGCAAAAGAGUUCUUGGGAGACAUGAGUAGAAGUUCAAGUUGUAGAGAUUCGGACCCUUCAGGAAUGUCAUUAAUAACACUAUCUUUUAAAGAAAUUGCAAGAUAUUUUUUUAAUUCAUCUGCAUUUGGCCAUUUCCAAUCAUCCUCAUUUCUCACCACAAAUCCAAUUUUGUCACGACAUGCAAUUGAAAUGGCAACAUCGCGAACAACGUCGUGCAUAGAAAAGUAUUUACUGCCACCAUCCUCAAGCAACAAACAAGAGUCUCUUAGUUGAUGGACCCAUGCAUCUAAUUUGUUAUGUGCAUCUUCUAGCUUGUGGACACUUUUAAAUACACCCCAGAGCAUGCUAUAUUUGAACAAGUCCAUAAUUGGUGCUGGCGUAAUAAGACUACACAGUAAAAAAGUUUUCUUGAGUUGCUCACCUCUUAAGUACUUGUAACUCAGCUCAAUUGUUGAGUAUGCCUCUGCUGGUACUCCUUCGUCGAAGCUUGCCUCUGAAGGCGUUUGGAGUUCUUGCAAGACAUUCUUCCACACAGGCAGCUCUUUUUUUCUCAGUGCCUUUGCUACUGUGGUUAGGGCAAUAGGCAAACCUCCGCAUGCCUUGGCUACACUUGUUGCUGUAGAUUUUAACUCACGAUUUUCCACAUAAUCACCUGCCAUUAUCUUGAACAAUUUCCAGGCUUCUUGUUCAUUUAAAAUGCCAAUCGAGAAGUUUUUUUCAGAUUCCAUCCUUAACAGCACAUCAAGAUCUCUUGUUGUGAAUAAUAAUUUGCAUCCUCUGUGCUCAACUCCAAAAGGAAUUCCAAUAGUCCCCAAAUCAAGAGGUUUCCAGAUGUUAUCCAGAAUCACAAGGAUCUUCUUCUCAUUCUUCAAUCUUUCAUAUAGUCUACUAGCUCUUCUAGACUCAGCUUCCUCGGACAACUGUAGGCCUAACGUUACCGCAAUUUCCUCUUGGAUCUUUUUUAUGUCUGGACUUUGGGUAACCUCCGAAAAAGCCACCAUAUCGUAAAGCUUGUCUUCAAUUGCUCGCCUUGCAAACUCCCGCACCAGUGUCGUCUUUCCAAUGCCGCCCAUGCCGUAGACGCCAAUGAUGCUGACAUCAACAUCGAUCAAUGCAUUUUGUAUGGCCUUCAAAGUAGAAAGUCUUGAUUCGAAGGCCUCGUAGCCUUUGUGAGACUUGAGCCAAAUCUCCUCCGGAAUGGUACGGUAGGAAAUUCUAUCAUCAAAUCUCCCAGCUUCUUCUCGGAGUUUAAAAAGGGCCUCCUUCUCUGUUUCUGCUUUCUUUCCAUGCUGAUAGCGAGUAAUCCAAUUAGGAAACAGCCCCAUGAGACAUCGUUCAUUUGCUUUCUCUUCGUCUUGAAUGAAUUUGGCUGCCUCCUCAAUGCUCUUGUUCGCAUUAACCAGCCAUUUCUCAACCUUCUCUUCAAUCUUUUCACUUUUUCUUUCAGCCUCAGAAACUCUGCGCUGAAUGCUUUCUCUUUCAUCCUUGAGCCCAUCGAGUUCUUCCUUGAGAUUCUCAAAGUUGGCAGCGGAGUUAUACCAAUAACUAAAUUCGCGUUGUGCGUGAGGAGACAAGCAGUUUACAAUGCUUUUCAAAAUGUCCAUUUUUUUUUUUUGGUUGGGGGGGGGGGGGGGGACGAAAUAGAAAUAGAACAGGGUCAACGACCGCGCAAUUGAUAAUCAAGUAGAAGCAAAACUAGGCAAAAUUGGAAAAAUAAAUUAUAUUUGUACAAAACAAGGGGAAAAUCAGUGUAACAGAAGAGAAUCAAAGUGUUUUUGAGAUCAGAAAAUUGAACCAAGAAAAGGGUUGCUUGAUCCAAUGAAAAAGCAAAGAGCUGAUGGCAAAAGGGAACAAAGAUAAAUAAGAAAACGGCUAGUACGAGCAGCGACCACGAUGAACAGAAGCAAAGUGUUUAUGAGAUCAAAAGACGAAAAUCAGGAGAGGUUUUCUUGACUGAGAAUUGAAGGCAAAGAGUAGGAGCUGACGAAUACGGGGAUCAAGAGGGAAAAACUGCUUGCUCGUAAAACUACUUUCAAGCGAAUCUGAUAAAAUUAUUUCAAUACUCAUGGGCGACUCCUUUUUAAACUGCAGAAGGAAAAAAAAAAAAAAAAGAGUUCUGAAUUUCAAUAUAUUAAUUUUUAUCCUAAUUUAUGUUGAGAUUCGUAAUCUCGUCUCAAUGAUUAAUUAGUAGAUAAUCUUUCUAACAAAUAUGUGUUGAAUAGAUAUAUUUCUUGACUAUUAGUAAGUUAGAUAUAUUUUAGCAUAGGAAUGAAAGUACCAAGUUGUGUCAUAUUAGAAUAAAAAUGUGAGCUAAAAAUAAUUUUCUAUGACCUUUUAAUUAUUUGUCAGCAAAUAAUUAAGUCAUAUAAAAAAAUUAAUAAUCUGAAUUAGUCUUUAAGUAUUAUAAAUAUUUUUUUUUAUUUUUAAUUAUAAUAUCAUUAUUUAAAAAUAAUUGCUUGACUUAUAUUAGUAACAUUACGAUUGUCAUAAAACAUGUGAUCCUCAUCCAAUAUCCAUUAUUUGUGAUCCUUAAUCAAUAAAAUAUCUAACAAUAUCUUCACCUAAAGUUUGAGACAUGUGAUCCUUAUUCCACUGCGUCAAAACAAGGAGAAAAUCAGUGUAACUGAAGAGAAUCAAAGUGCUUUUGAGAUCAGAAAUUGAAGCAAGAAAAGGGUCGCUUGAUCCAAUGAAAAUGCUAAGAGCUGAUGGUAAAAGGGAACAAAGUUAAAUAAGAAAACAGCUAGUGCUAGCAUCGACCACAAUAAACAGAAAAUUUGAGAUGGAUUUACAAUAUUUCUGCCUUUCUUUAUGCUUUAACAAAUAUUGCUCUAUCAAAAAAAAUAUUUAGCAUUUUAUUAUUGGAGUCACAAAAGACCUACACAAUAUAGCAAGUGCUAGGAAUAAAUAAGAAUAUAUAACUCUCUCUCUAAUUCUCACUCUAGCUUUUAAUUGUCACUCAAAACCCAGAAUUCAUCCUUAAAGUGUAAGCAAAUCAGAGAUGACAGCGUCUGGUUGUCAUACGUGCCUUUUAGUUUUCGGAUGACAUGGCGUACACUUCUUCUGUAAAUCGAACAUGACAUGUCGUACUCUUUGUUUUGAGAUCAUAUUUCAAACUCUUCAUGCUAUGAAUGAAAGAUAAACUACAAUCAUCAAAAUAUUUAGUGUUUAUUUGGUAAUGUAACAUCAUAGUUGUUGUGAAUUGAAAUUAUUUAUGUAAGAUAAAAGGAUUUGGGUCAUCGUUUGUUAUUCUCUAGCAAUAUUGUUUGGCCGUGACUAUUUGUUAAAUAUUAAAAAAAUAAAUUUAUAUUUAUUAAGUACAAAAAAUAAAUAAACAAACAAAAAUAAAAGGAAAAGUUUAUGCAUUACAUAAAAUAAUAAGAACAAUAUCAAUAUUUCACACUCUAUAAUUGACUGAUGAGUUGUCCAACUACCAUACAUUGGUCCCAGAGACUUAAAUAUUAAAGUCCAAAGUUAUUGUGAUGAUGACUUAUAAUUGCCAAACUUGACAUACGGGUAAUCAUGCAUUAUAUAAGGUGCUGAUUUCUUCCGAUCGGAACUUUAUUUUUCAUUUACAAAUAAAUAAAUGAUGUGACUUAACGGGUGGCGGGGUCCUUUGUGCCAUUUGUGUAUUUCACUGAAUAGUUGAUUCAACUUGAUUGCAGCAGAAAGAUUCCUGGAAGUUGCCAUUUGCCAAUGCUACUAACAUUUUCAAACUUGGAAAACCCUUCAAUCAAUCUUUUAGUGGUAGGCUCUGGUAGCUUGCUUUGAUUAUGACAUAUGAUUAUUUGAUAAUAAAGCUAGAGGAUGUAUUAAUAUAAAAUUUGUUUAUUGGUGUUGAAGUUAAUUAUCUCAUUAAUAAUAAUAUAAAAAGUUAAUUACUAAGAAACACAUAGCAGUAUUCUAGGAUAUAAUUUUAUAUCAUAACUUUGUAAGUGUAUAAUUCCUCAUUAAAUUAACAAAAUUAUUUUAAAAUAUUUAGUUAGAAAAAAUAAAAUAUUUUACAAUACCUCCCUUCAGAUUGCACAAAUUACAUAAAAAAAAAAAAUUGCUUUAUGUAUAAAACUUUCAAACAAAUUGGGCCAAAAUCUAACUUUACCAAGUUUAGAGUAAUUUUGGGCUCUACAUUCCAUUUCCGACAAACGAAUUUUCUUUAUCACCAAGGUAUGAUACUUUUCAUAUUUAUCCAACGGCUCGUCAAUGACAAUACCUUUGUAAAAAGUACUUAUUUUCAAUAGUAUAUUGUGGAAAUGUCUGGUCGGUAAUACAACUAUUUCUUAUAGUGUAAAAAUGAUACACUAAGCGUUCACAUUUUGAUGAGUAAAUUAAGGAUUUCAAGAUGAAGUACAUAAUUAGAUUAAUGCUAAGAAACUGAAGUUUGAUCGAUUGAAAACGAAAAUAAUAAUAAAGGUAAUUAAGAAAAUGAACAAUAUAUGCAGAAGCGGCUCCUUAUUAGGACUUCUAGAUUUUCUCUUGGGCUUUCCUUAUUAUUGUUAAAAAAUGACACGAAGAACUUUGAGUUUAAAAAUCUGGCCCUGAUGCCUGGUAGCCCUCCAACAUAUGAAGCACCAGAUGUUUUGAUGAGAAUAUGACAAGACCAUUUAUCAAAUUUCUUGUGGAUAUAAAUACGUACACAUGGACGAGACCAACCUCCUCAAAUGAGAAUCAGAGUGAUUACAAGACCUUGCAAUGAGACAAUGAUACACCUUCAAAUGUCAAAAUACAAUAGAAAUUCACGACAUAUAUAUAAUAAAAGACCUCUCAUUGAGUCAUAUAUAUUGAGAAUAAAAAUGUUAUAAUACAUACACAAAGCUUAGCUAGAAUAAAAUGUCUUUGAACUUGCGAUGAUCAAAUAAAGAAAACAGACAGGUUGUAACUCACACUAUCACAAGAAGAUCACGAAGAUGGAAAUAGGAACCCGACAGAAUGGAAAUUUUGAAUAGAGGAAAAAAGAAAAACGACCUUAUUCACAUAAGAAGAGUGACUCAAAUCUUCUUCAGUAUCCAGACAUUCUGCAAUCAUAGAGUAGAGAAAUUUUAACAGGAACAGCAGAGAAAAUAUUAUGAAUAUGCUAUAGACCAAUAUACUUGUUCAUAGCUAACGUUUGAUGGUUUAAAGAUUUGUUCUAGGAAUAAUGGGCUGAUUACUUUUUUUUUAUUUUAAUUUUUUUUUAAUCCAAUGAAUGAUAUUCAGCUGUUAAUUAUGUGUUCAUAGGGAAGAACAUUUUCUAAGUACUUUCCUUGCCUUCUAACUUUCCGAAAAGCAAACCCAAUGAACAAACAGAGCACAAACUAAAAUAAAAGAACAGCAAUGAUGACAAUAAAUAAUUGGCAAAGAAAAAAGGAAAAAGUAUGCACGUUUUCAAGGAAUUAUAAAAUAUGAAGGCUUUUAAUGAAAUUUUAUCAUAAAAAGUAUGCAAGGAAUUAUAAAAAUUUAGAAUUUUUGGAAUUUUUAAUGCACCAAAGUUCAUUUUUAGCUUUUAAGGUUUUUAUGUGUGAGCCUCUCAGCAUGUUCCCCAACCUCCUCACGUGAAAAUAUUUCUAUGCACGGUUACAAGCUUUUCCAGAUUGUGAGUAUUCCGAAGCAAUCCAACUUGAAAAACAGCUGGUUCGUAGAAAAUGACAGUUUACGAAGCUGGCCCUGCUGCCAUACAUAUGAUGAUGAAGACCAUUUUGCUUUAUGUCAAUUCCUCCAAGUUGAAAUCUUUCUCGGUCUGGGACACUUCCAACACAUAAUGUACUACUAGGCCAGAUGAUUUUAAAAAAUGUCAAGGUCCUUUAUCAAAUUUCAUUUGCAUUCAAGACCAAUCCCCUUUGAUGAAAAUCAAUAAUUAAAGGCUUUCCAAUGAGAAAUUAUUACGUCUUCAAAUCUCAAAAAACGCCAGAAUAUUAAUUCGCUACAUAUAAUCAAGAUAUCUCAUUGAGACGCAUUAAUAAAAAAUGUCAAAAUGCAUAGAAAGAGCAGACACACGGAUGAUGAAUUUACUCAUCUUUAUUAGUAUUUGAACUUGAGAGACAGAAUGAAGUACAUGUCAAGAAUAUCAUAAAGAUGGAAACCGGAAGUCCUCCGCACAUAAACUUUGAAGAAACUGGAAAACGACUUUAUUCCAGAUAAUGCACACCAGAGUGACCAAAAUUCUCUUCAGUAACUAUAGAGAAAAUAUUAUUUUGCAUGCAUUUCACGUAACUGGAUCAAACUACUCUCCUGUUGGUUUAUCAGACCACAUUUUUAUGGUGCAAUAUAAACCAUCUUUUCAAAACGCUUUUACCAUGUGAGAAAUAUACGCAUUAAAUUUCAUAAACUAAAAACUCCAAUUGUCAAAAAAAAAAAAAAGGGUGAGAAACUCAGUAGAAUUUACAACUUCUCAGACUCACGAAAAGGUGAGAAACAAAUGAUUUUUAUAUAGUUGUUCAUAGCUAACUUUUGAUGGUUUAAUGAUCUGUAGAUUUUGUUUUAUGCUAUUCAAGGAAUGAUAUCCAAUUGUUCCUAAGAGUUCAUAGGCAGGGGCAUAUAUGCAUGAUUUGAUAUAAUUCUUGCAAUUUCUAAGUACUUGCUCUUUCCAUCCCUUCUAAGUUUUGAAAGAAAGGUCGAAAUAAACAGAGAAACAGGACAAACAGAAGAAGACUGAAUUAACAGAUCAACAAAGAUGGCAACUAACAAAUGGAAAGUUCUCUUGUAAUCAAACUAUAGCAAACAGAUGACACCAUUACAAUAUAUCUUAAUGAGUAGAUUGAUUCUAAACAUAUAUGUUAGGAUACAUUUGGUUGUUUAAUAGUUUGAAAUAAGGAGGAUGGGAUGGUUUCCACAUAAAAGUGCUGUCCCUUUCAAUGACAUUUUCAAAGAAUUAUAAAAUUCAAAAUAAAAAAAAAAUUAGCAAAUUAUAAAGCCACACCGUCAAAAAAAUAAAUAAAUAGAUAAGUUAAGACCUUUAAUGAUAUAAAAAUAAAUAAAUAGAGAAGUCACUAGGACCUUUAAUGAUAUAAAAUAAGCAUAUAAAUCUCAGAACAAAACAUUAAAAUUCAUUCUAAAAAUAAACUAGUGGUGUAUUCCAAACAAUUUAGAUGAAGCGAUAAAACAAGCCAAGAGAUCGAAUAAAAUGAAAUGAAAUUGAAUUAACUGGGACUUUGUUUUCCAAAUUCACAACUCGCUUGUAAUUAAAGUAAAAUGCCAAUGCCAUUAGGACAUAUACAUCAUUGAAUAAGAUGAGGACCCCUCCAACAGCUGAAAGUAAAAUUUUCAUUCAUUAGUUUCAAUUAAAAGUAAAGCACACAGAGAUUUGCAGGGAAGCAAGAGAUUUAAUAAAUUUAACAGCAGCAAUUUAAUUUGACAGGACUUCCAUACAGUAAUGAAGUUAAAAACUAAUGAUUAACGAAUUUAGUUUGGUCCCAAAGCUGUUGAUCAUCUCUCUCUCCAUAGUAGAAGUUUACUCUCAGAGGCGCGUUUAAUUCUCCUUUAGUGAAAAUCUUCAUCUUGGGACAACCAAUUAUAGAUAAAUCUUCCAAAGAUGGGAAUUUGAAGGUGUAAUUGGCAGAGCAUACAAAAUCUUCAAUUUGGCGAAAACAACUCUUCUUUUAAAUUUGCUGCUCCAUCUUCGUCAUUUAUCACCACCUCUCUCAUUUCUCUGCAUCCACAUACCACCAUUGAUAAUAGUCGCUCUAGACUUUUUGCUGUGGAGGAGGUUGCUAAGCUCAUCAAAUUCCUUGCAACGAAGAACUAGAAGUUCUUUUAGGUUCCCAAAAGAUACCGAUGAUGAUGGCCAUAGAUAUAACAGAUUUUGACAAUAAUGUACAUUUAGAAUUUCAAGGCAUUGAACAAAGGAGUCCAAUUUGGAGUCUUGUUUCCACAAUUGCUUCAGAUGAUUAAAUUUGUGCAGAUCUAAAUGUUUUAUCAUUGUAAACUUCCUCACAUGUUUCUUCAAGUAUCCUCCAUUCGAAAAUACAUCUUCGCAUGAACAACGACGCCGUAUGAGAGUUUCCAGAUUAUGAAAUCUCUCAAGUAAAUCAAGUGGAAAACAAGUUGAGUCAUCAUCCACUGUUUGUAGUAGUUUAAGACUCCCAAAAAGGUGUUGUGGGAAAUCGCUCUGCAAAGUCAUCCUCGAGUCUUUUCCACUUAAUGCCCGUUCCUCCUAAGUUGGGUAAGCUCUGAUCAUCAUCAAUCACGUAAUAACUUAUUAAGUCAAUUCAUAUUCUCUCAAAUGACUUUUAAUAAUCCAAUCAUACACAGUGACUUUAAUAUAAAUGCAUAAUAUUUUACAAAAAAGAAGAAAAAAUCGAAUUAGAGGUAAAAGUUAUUCUACGAUUUUAUUUUUUAUAUAUAUCUUGCAUGCUAUUCCCAAAAGCAAUCCCAAACGGCCCUUAAAGCAAUUUUACAAAAGUGGCCGGUACAUAUAUUGCCAACUUUGUUAGGAAUGGCAAUGGGAAGGGGAGGGGAAGAGACCGACCUCCCCGUACCCAUUCCCGAUAUUCUGCAUAUAUCCCCAUCCUCUCCCCAUUCCAGACAAAAUUGCUUUAGGGAAUCCCUCUCCCCUCCCCAAAUAAUAAUAGGGGAUCCCUGAAGGUCCUCGAUCCUCGAAUAACUAAUACGUUUUUAGUUUUAAAUUUUAAUUUAAUCAUAUUAAAAUAAAAAAUUUAAAUAAAAAUAAAGUUUGACGAUAUAUCUUACAUUAACAUUAAUCUAUUAAAAAAGUCACAUUACAAAGUAUAAAUCACCAUAAUAAUUAUCUUCGGCAAUCUUCAAAAUCAUAUAAUAAAAAAAAAGAAAUUACUUUUAUAUCAACAAUAAGAUAAAUGAAAUGAAUAUAGAUACUUAAUCAAUAUUUCUAAUAAAAGUAUUCACCUCAUGCGUCUCCUACUCUUCUUGUUCUUCCUCGAGGAAUGUGACAAAUUGAGAGAUAGCCUUAGAUUUCAAGUUUAAAACAAUAAAAAUAAUAUAAGUAAUGUAAAUUCUAAGUGAAAAUAUUAAUAAUUAUAUAAUAUAAUUACAAUGUAAAAUAAACUCAUACUACCAUUGUAAGCUUGUAGUCAACUUUGACAACUUAUUAAAGCCUCCAAUGUGCUUGAAUAAAGCGUGUUACGAUACUCUACCACAGGUGCUAAAAGCUAAUUCAGAAGCAACAUUUGUAAUUAGAAUUGCCAAAAUAUCUCUAGCAAUUCGUGCCAAUAUAGGAUAUCUAUAGACAUUUGUUUUACACCAACUCAAAAUAUUAAAAUCUUUCAUCCGUGGCAUAACUUUUUCAUCCAAAUAUUAAUGUAGUCAAUUAGGCCUAAAGUUUAAUAAUAUAAUUAUUUUAAUUUUUUUAUUUAUACUAAUAUUUAAUAUUUUAUUAUUUAUAUUUUAUUAUUUAUUUACAAAUAAUUUUAAAAAAAUUAAAAUUAAAAUUAAAAAAUUGGAAGGGGAUAGGGAUUCCGCUGCAUCCCCGUCCUUUUUUUGAAUAAGAAAUUGGGUAAAAAAACUAUUUCCGUCGCUUUUCUAAAUAAAAAAUUAAGUAAAAAAUUAUGUACCCUCCUGAAUUGGGAAAAUCUCGAGGGUCAUGUCCCCGCGGGAAUAUCUGCCAUUCCAAAACUUUGUAACAGCCACUUGCUUUUGUGACCGUUUAUGUGACGGCUAGACUGCUCUCACUUAUGUUACUAACCACGUGACGGUAGAGAGCCAAUUGGCAUACUAUUAUUUUGACGGUAGAGUUAUAAAUUUGUUUCUAAAUAGAAAACUAUUUGCUGGAGUCAAUAUUUUGAAGACCAAAGUCCCAAAUUCUCUCUCGUGCCUGGCCAGCAUCCUAAACCUUACUGGUAGCCGGAGAAUGGCGUAAAACGGCGGCGAUCUUCUUCUUCAUCUUAUUCUCUCUCUCAUCGUUUCAGGUAAGCUUGUGAUUAUGAGUUUCUUCGCUUUCUUAGCUUGUAAUUAUAGGUUUUGAUUUCUUUAAUUCGUUUUGUAGCCAUUAAUGUCAAUUUUUGUCCCACCGGCAAUGUUUUUUGUUCCUAGAAGUUGAAGCCCUUCUGUUCUUGUGCCAUUGGUGAGUUUGCUCACUCA